rnacentral:lncRNA from 1 species
UCUGAAUCUUUCUCACAACAAACUAAUAGGCGGUCUUGAGCAACUGCCUUGGGGUUAUAUUACUUAUCUUGAUCUCCAAUACAAUAAGCUGGAUGGAUCGUUGCCCACCUUGAUGUGUAGUUCCACCUCUCUUCAUAUUCUAAAUCUGUCUCACAACAAAUUGAGUGGUGUACUACCCAGUUGUCCUCCACAUAGGAAUAUUCUUUCAGUGUUGGAUCUGCGGAGGAAUAAAAUUCAAGGAAACAUUCCAGCAACCUUGUCAAAUUUCUAUAAUCUGGAAACCAUUAAUUUGAAUGGAAACCAAUUAGAAGGAGGCAUUCCUUCUUCUUUUGCUGAAUUUGAUUCAUUAGCCGUUCUUGAUCUUGGAAAUAAUCAGAUAAAUGAUACAUUCCCCCGGUGUUUGGAAGCUCUUCCAAAUCUCCAAGUUCUUGUUCUCAAAUCAAACAAGUUUUAUGGUCUUAUAAACACGAGUUCUCAGGUUGUACACCCAUUUCCUAGCUUGAGAAUCAUUGAUCUUUCGUACAACAAGUUUUCAGGUGCACUGCCAGAAAAAUAUUUCAGAAACUUCAAGGCUAUGAUGAAUGGUGAAGUGAAUAAGGUAAAUCGUAGUUAUAUGGAGCAGGAGGAUUAUUACAGGGAUUCCACAGCUCUAGUGAUUAAAGGCAUGGAGAUUGAUUUAGAAAGAAUUUUGACUGUGUUCACAACUAUUGAUGUAUCAAAGAACAAUUUUGAUGGGGAGAUAGCUGAAUACUUUGGAAAUCUUGUAUCACUCAGAUUUCUUAAUCUUUCUCACAAUUAUCUCACAGGCCACAUACCACGCUCGAUUGGAAAAUUGACUGUGCUGGAGUCACUAGACCUCUCAUCCAACCAACUUAAAGGAGAAAUUCCUCCGCAGCUCACUAGUGUAUAUUCACUUGCAGUUCUCAAUCUGUCUUGCAACCAACUUAGAGGACGUAUUCCAGAAGGGUGGCAAUUCGAUACGUUUGAAAACAGCAGCUACGCUGGUAACUUUGGGCUGUGCGGACAUCCCUUGUCGAAAAAGUGUGAAUCUUAUGUUAAAACACAAGAAGAAGACGAAGAAGAUGAGGAUGAAUGUCACUUUUUCAGUGGUUUUACUUGGGAAGCGGUGGUGAUUGGAUAUGGGUGUGGAGUGGUGCCUGCAUUUAUUAUUGGGUACCUGAUGUUGCUGGCACAGAAACCAAAAUGGUUUGCUGGAAUCAUUGGCAGGGAAUUGGGCCUGAAGAUGAGGAGGAUGGAGAUUAGAAUGCGAUAACUAAAGGUUUGCUGUAAUCUGUAUCCCAUUCCCAGGUCUUGAAUAUUCUGUGAUAAUAUAGUAAUAUCUGGUCUCAUAUAAUUCUAUAUUUGCACCUGUAGACGUUUACAGAUUGGAGAGGCAUGAACAUUUUGGCAUGCAAGUUGAUGGGAAAAGCAGGAUUCAAAUGCAUUGGAAUCAACAACUGCGGUGUUGUAGGCAGCCAAGUUAAUAAACCACUACUUCAGCUGUUUUGCAUCUUCUGUGAUUUUAAAUUUUACAUUUUACAAUAUAAGUCAAAAGAUACAAGUUCAAUAUACAAGUUUUGUUUUGUUUAGUUCCAGCCUAUAAACACUUCAGUAGAUACCAGAGGAGAAAUGGAUACAAUCAAUGUCGGAAUUGGUCUUUAUAGUUGAAACAAAGACUACCAGAUCAUUACCAAUAUCAACUAGGCAUGUUGUUUAACGGGGAACUCAUAACUGGACAAUAAUUUUAAUAAUUUAGAAUUUGUGUAAUUUAUUACUGGUCUAAAGGACACGGGAUGGGUUUGCAAUAGUUAUUUGGAAACAGCUUGCUUAGAUAAAUGGACAGUGUUUUAUAAUAAUAGAGUCCGGGGCCUAUCAAGUGAUUGUUAGAGCAAUUUAUCUACUGUUUUUUAUAGCGGAAAAACAUAAACACUUGGUUUUUUAGUGCAUGCAGAGGGUCCAUCAGUCCAUCCGCAAUUUACACACUCAUUAUUCCAGGAUUCUCUGUUUCAUGGUAUUCUGCUGUGUAAAGAACAAUCACUUGUCAGGACCACCUCCCAUAAUCACAAGAGAUUCUAUAGGAAAAGAAGCAACAGACAUGGUUGGAUUGUUUGUUUUCUGUAUUCUUCUGCUAAAAGGCUACCCUUUUAAAGUCUCUUUUAUAUAUAAAGAUACAAAAAAAAAAAAAAAAAUCAUACUAAUAAAGAUUCUUUUUGGCUCCUCCAGAACUGGCCAGUUUUUCCUUAACUUUGCUUCUCCCACAUAAGACUAUAAGAAUAUUACAAUGAAAUAGUUGAUUAUCGUUGAACUUGCCAAUCUGUUGACUUGGUAAUUUGAAUUUGAUAAGCUCUGAAUUGUAAGUAACGAGGAACAAGAUGACAUGAUGGUAAAUAGAAAAUACAAGAUGUCCAUCAACAUAGCAAAGAAAUAUUUUUCAGCCGGACGACAUAUCAGGAUGUUCAUUACUAAAACAUGUUUGCUGAUGCUUUAUAAUGUACAAUUUACAAUAUAUCACAGGUUGUAAUAUACACUACUAGAUGAUUUUAUGGCCUGUUUAUCCUUAAUCGCUAUCAUGAACUAAUGAAAAUUUAUAAAAGUGGAUCACAUUUGCAGUGAUGCCGCUAUUUUUCCUGAAUUUCCCUAGUUGUGAAGAUUCCCUAGUUGUGAAGAUUGUCUAAAUCAUGUUAGAGUCGCUGCCAUCAGUGAAUGCAUUCAAUGGCUUACUGAAACUGGUAGAGAUACUAAAUUGCAAGAUGACAGAGUGUCCAUGCGUCAUUUUAAGGAUCAAGAUGUGUAGCUGUGACUUGUAUUUUAAAAUUGCAAGAUGUUUUACAAUGGUAGCAGAGGAGGGCUGGGGAUUUAUUGGGUCAGUUCGAAGCACACAAGUAGAAUUGGUUGUGGCAGAGCAAGAAGCUGAGCACGACCAUAAGAAUUUGAACUCUGAGGCUAAUUUGACUCUACUUGUACAAGUUAAUAUAUGAUGGCACAAGUUAAUAUAUGAUGGCAGCAAAGGAGUUUCUUACAUGCGCCAGUUUACAGUUCUUAGAAACAUCUUAUUAUGCUUAUUUGUACUAAACAGAUAUUAGUAGUCCACCAGAAACAAGGAGAUUUGAUAUAUCCCGGACUCUGAGGCCGGUGACAGUCUAUGAGAGGGCAUGUAAUCGAUGGAACAAGGAGGAUUCAGAUACAUUGGAUUCAUUAACAGAACUUCUUCAGAGCCGGAGUCACUUCCAGAUGCUCUCUUCUGGUAGAUAUCUAUUGGAGAAGUAAAAACAUCUCAUAAUCAUCAUUCAGCACUUGCUCUGAGUUUGUUGAUCAACCAUGCGAUGUUGAAGGCAGCUCUUAUCUUAUCUGCAAUCAAGUUAAUGAACCACCACCUCAGUUGUUAAGCAUCUUUCACCAUUUUACAUUUUACAACUCACAAUAAAAGAUUACAUGUGUAUUAAUCUGAUCAUCAUUUGUUUGAUCAAUAUAGAAGUUCGGCUCUGUUUACUUCUAUCCCUGGCUCUUCAUUUCUAGAACAUUGUUGAUACUUUUUAUUGAAUGGUUAAGAAUAUUCCAUAGAUUUUUAUAUUCAGUGCUAGAUGAUUUUAUGUCCUGUUUUCAUUCCAUUCAUGAACUAAUUAAAAAUUUGAAAGUGAUGCCCACCUUUCUGGACCUGCAUUCCAUGACCACAAACUCCAAUUCUGCCCAAAAAUUGCAGCUGUUUCGUAAUAUUUUUCUACGUGUUCUUUUGUUUGGACUUGUUUGCUGGACCAUGCAUAUUGUUUUGAUACAAACAUCUUUGUUGAUGUUAACACUCAUUGUUAGUAGCCCAUUCUUUACGGCAGACAUUGAAUUGGAUUUACUUGAAGAAAUGAAGGUUUAAGAAAGUUCAGAGCAAUUUGUUGAUUAUUUCCUUCCCUAGAAACUGCACUCCAGCAUCAAAGUACCUUUCAAAGACUCUACACAUAAUCUCUUGAUUAUCAAAGACUUGGUCUUGCAUAUACUGAUAUACACUGAAUAUAGGUUUCUUUCAUUUCCUUGAAAUUGCAUUUUUCGAAGUAACUCUCCAGACUCAUUCCCGUCACUUCUCAAAGUCUUAGUCCUCAUCAAUACAUUCACAUAAUAUCACACCAAUUUGCUCAUGCUCAGAUGGGCUUUUCUUACAAACCACAUAUGUUCACUUCUCAGAGUCUUAGUCCUCGUCAAUGUAUAGAGAUAAUAUCUCACCAUUUGCUAGUGCUACAAAUCAGUUUCUCCUACAACCACACAUAAUCGGAGAAAAGUCUGUCAAGUGUCAAGUGGACUUGAAAGACCCUUCUGCAUGGAUUAUUGUAUGUCAUGAAUGCCUUCUGAUAUCCCUGAAAGUGCAAGCAAGUUAUAAAAGUAGCUGGGCAGACUCUUUCUCAUCAAUACAUUCACAUUCAAAGCGGGCGUUGAUAUGCCUCCCUAAUUUUCUAAUGCCCUAGACGGAAUUCUAUUACAAUCCACAUAUGAUGGGUAGCGAUCAUCAAUUCAAAGAAGACACUAUCAGCAGCUUGCAGGAAAUGACCCCUCUGCAUGGAUUAUCGAAGAAAGAAACUUAUACCUAUAAAGCUGUAGAAAACCAAUGGUAAGCAUAACUGCAUAUAAGAUACAAAACUAAAUUUAAUACAAGACUCGUUCUGAGCAUUGGAAAAUAUGCUUUUAUUGCAGCCAAUGUAUUAGUGAAAAGAAUUAAAUUUAAAUUAAUUGUAGACUGCAAAUAUAAGAUUAGGAGAGUUUCUACAACCCACAAAUUAGUAGACAGACUAAUAUGAUUAGUUGAGACCAUCAAUCUGGAGAAACUGUUUCUACAAUGACCCAUCUGUAUGAAUUAUUGAAGAAAGAAACUUAUACCUACAAUGUAAAGGAAAUAAUCACGAGUAUAUUGCAUUUUUAAUCCAAAUUGUAUAUGAUUCUAUCUGUGCUACUGAUAGUAAAUAAUAAAUCUACAACGGGCCUUGCAGUUAAUCAAGGUAUUUAACUCUACCUUUCUACAUUGUUGAAUAGUUUGAAUAAAAUAAUUGUAAUAAAUUUUUUGCUGGAUGCUGUGUGAGUUUACCAGAGCUUAUCUUGGUGAGAAGUCUGAGUACAAGGCAAUGAGCAGGAAACAACAUAGGGAGUUUACAACUAGAAGUAUCUAUUCUCCCCUAGUCUUUUUGUGAACAUCAAGAGGCCAUUCAUUUUGCUCACAAACCAGUUAAAAAUGGCAGGACUACACAUAAUGAAUCACGCAGUCACUUUAUGUGAGAAAAGAAAAAUGUCAGGACAGCAGCUCAAACGUUUAAAAAACUUCAUUAAUUAUUUUCUUUUAUUGAAACCACACUCAUCCAUCAAAGUAGCUCUCAAAGACUAAUUUCCAUCACCUUUUGAUUCUCAAAGUCUUCUUCUUCGUCUUUUACUGCUCCUAAAGUUCUUCCAUUGCAAGCCACAUAUUAGUAGACAUACUACAUCAACUCUGUGGAAAGAAACAAUCUAUACUUGAUCUUGAUGUACAAUGUUAUGAUGUAAAUGUAUAAUAUCAAAAUUAGGAAUAGUAGUCACGCGCUAAUUAAUAACCCUCUGCAGGGGUUAUUAAAGAAAGCAACUUAUAGUUUAAGUUGCUGAACAUUUGUGUGUGCCAAAUUUAAUUUCACACAUCAUUACUAGAUUUACACAUGGUAUUAGACAUCAGUACUAGUAUAAGAUGUUAAUCAAGUUUUAUAAUUUCUUUUAUUUCAGAUAACAAGUUUUUUUUUUUGUGGAAUUAAUUAUUUAUAUCAUGCAUUUGAGCUUUAAAAUUAGCUCUACAUAAAAGUUGGUCUAUUGCAGUAGACACUAAAAUGAUUUCGCUCAAAGAAACAAUGAUGUAUAUGAAGAUUUUCAGAACUGAAUUUCUUUCUAUUUCUAAAAAUUGCAUUCAAGAACCGAAAGUAGCUCACAAAGACUCAUUACAUCAUCUUUCAAUUCUCAUUGUCUUGGUCUUUGUCUUCUACUGCUCAAAAUUCUAUUACAGCCCACAUAUCAGUAUCAUAUACCUAAUCAUAAAUAGUAUUUAAUAUUUAACACAAUUGAAGAUUUGUCUCAGAGACUUACUUCCAUCACCUUAUGGUUCUCAAAGUCUUCGUCUUCUAAUGCUCCAAAAGUUCUAUUAGUUCAGGCCACAUAUUAGUAAACAGACUACAAUUCAUCCAAAAUGACCCCUCUUAUUGGACACUUUGAACACCUCUAUCUGUAUAUGCAUUGGAGAAGAAUUAUCAGCUAGUUAAAAUAACCUCUUCGCAUCAACUCUAUCGAAAGAAGCAAUUCAUACCUAAAGUACAAUGUUUGGAUAAAAUCAGGAAUAGCAACUGCACGCUAAUUUUUUAGUUGAAGCAGGCUACCUUGGUGUAAUUCAGUGAACAUCCCCGUAAUUUCUUGACAGGCCACAAUUAAGGAAGUUCACAGAAUUAAAUUCCAGAAGUAGCUCCCUGAGACAGAUUUGCAUCAUCUUUCCAUCCUCAAAGUUCUUUACACUUAUAUUAUAUUUCAUGUUUUAUUGUAAUGAACAUAGCAGUUUCCUGUUCAGUAAUAUUCCAGGCUCAGGUUCUUCAUUCCUAGUCUCUGUUACAUGUUUGCCACUAAAACGUAUUGAACAGUUAUUAGUUUAUGAUUGUAUUCCAUCUUGAAAGGAGAUCUCAAAGACUCAUUCCCAUAAUCUUAAGAAUCUCAAGUCUUGAUGAACUUGGCCUUCAUCAUAUUUGUACUCUUGUAAUUCCAUAUUAAUGAAGUUUAAAUAUUUAUUUCAAAAAAAAAUGAAGUUUAAAUAUUAAAAUUUUUAAUUUUAGUAAAUUUGUAAAAAUAGUAAAAUUUGUCUUAUUUAUAAUAUUAAUAAAUCUCUUACUUUCUCGUUACUGUAUUCAACUUAAUAAUUCUUACAAACACUUGUAAGUGCAUCACAUAAGUUAUGUAAAUUCAGAAUAAAUUAUGUCCGAUUUCUUUAAGAGAGAUUGUUAUAUUGUUUUUACUUUAAAAAUUGAAUUAUCUUUUAUUUUUAAUAUAAUUUACAACUAAAAAAUAUUUAAUAUAUUUUCUUAUUUUUGUAAUAUGACUAAACAUAUCUUAAAUACACCUUUUUCCUAUAUAUAUAUAUAUAUACAUCUAUUAUAUUUUUUAUGAAAUAUAAUUACAAAUUUUGAUUAUUAAACCGAAAACGAAGUUAUACAAUUUUUUUAUUUCAAAGAUCAUCUAAUAUAUCAUGUAAUAUCUCAACAUGAUUCUAUAACAGAAUAAUAAUCAUUCAGAAUUAUUCUGUUGUAGAAUCAGUUUCGAAACUAUACUUUUUUUUAUCAAAUUUUAAGUGUUAAAUUACUUAAAAUAGAUAUAUUUUAUAGUAUUCUAUAUUAGAAUCACGUUUUAUAUGUAUUUUAUAGCAGAAUUUAUAAUAAAAUUGAUGAUUUAUAAUGCCGCACUAUGUAACUUCAUAUAAAGAGUCCCUUUCUGGAAUGUUGGCAUAUAUAUAUACUAGCUUAAAACCCGUGCAAUGCACGGGCGGUUAUGAUAUUUAUUAUUUUAUCGUAUAUAUUCCAGAUUUAACUAAUUUUAUUGAAAUUAAAAUUGUGAUAGAAUAAUGUGAUUAAAUAAAACAUUUAUUUAACGACUGAAAAAUUCUUAAUAGUUAAAUCCGUCAAAUAGCUAAUUUAAAAUUAAGUCAAAUAUAUAUUUUAAUAAAAAUGUUAAAAUAUAUUAUAUUUUUUAUAUGUUAUAAUUCAAGAAGACACAUAAACCUAGAUAUAAACAACCCAAUCAACCUUUUAAUAUUUUGUUAUUAAUAAUAUAGAACAAAUCCUUAAAAUAGAAUCAGAUAAGUAUAAAACAUAUUGUAAGCUAAAGGGAAGUGUACUGAUCCAUAACACUAACCUAAUUUAUUUAUUUUUAAACAGCACUAACCUAAUUUAUAAAUUAAGGAGGUCCAUGGAUCAAAUAUGAACCGGUUUAUAAAACUCGACCGACCAACUGAACUUUUCAGUUUAUGUUUUAAUAGUACAAUAAUAUAUAGUAUAGUAUAGAUUUGUAAUUUUAACUUUUAAAUUUAGAUCAGUAGAGCAUUUAAAGUAACGUUAAUAUAUUUUGAUCGACAAAUAUCGCCAUUUAUUUAAUAAUAUUGUUAUAUUUUUAUAUAUAUGUCGCCCGUGUUAAUUGUAGUAGAUCAAUUUUUUCAGUCAGUAAAUCUUAAAAAAAAAAUGUGUUUUAGUUAAAAAGGUAAUUACUAUUGCUCGAUGUUAUUUUAGAAAAUUGUGUUUUUUUAGUUAGAAAAUAUAAAAAAGAUAACAUAUUCUAGUUUAAAAGAAUAUUUAGUUAUAUAGAUAGGCCUGUAUUUCGGCCCAAAGUUAAAAAGAAUACUCCCUCCGUCCCCUCCAAUUCUUAUCGUUUGGAAUGGAGUGCUCGGCACGCAUUUUAAGACUCAUAUAAAGUAUAGUUCCAUAACUCAUUUUCAUAAUUCUCUUUUUCUGAAUAAAAAUUUAAACAUUACAUUUUUAUUUAAAAAAAGAAAAUUUUAAAAAUAAGUUAUGGAACUAUACUUUAUAUAAGCCUUAAAAUGCGUGCCGAGCACUCCAAUCCAAAUGAUAAGAAUUGGAAGAGACAGAGGGAGUAAUUAGUUAUGUCGAUAGACCCGUAUUCGGUCCAAUUACUUACAUACCAUAACUUUCAAUUUUCGAUUUUAAUAAUAUAGUAAACCUUAAAAAAGAUAAUGUAUUUUAGUUAAAAAGGUAAUAACUAUAUUGUUCGAUGUUAUUUUAUAAAAUUGAGUUUUUUAGUUAGAAAAUAUAAAAAAGAUAACAUAUUAUAGUUAAAAAGAAUAAUUAGUUAUAUAAAUAGGCCUUAUUUCGGCCUAAAGUUAAAAAUAAUAAUUGGUUAUAUAGAUAGGCCCGUAUUUCGGCCCAAAUUUUGACCGAUCAAACUUUCAAUGUUCGUAAUUACUGUUGCUCGAUGUUAUUUUAGAAAAUUGAGUUUUUUUAGUUAGAAACUUUAAAAAAGAUAACAUAUUCUGGUUUAAAAGAAUAAUUAGGUAUAUCGAUAGGCCUGUAUUUCGAUUUUCGGCCCAAAGUUAAUAAGAAUUAUUAGUUAUGUCGAUAGGCCCGUAUUCGGUCGAAUUACCGACAUACCAAACUUUCAAUUUUUUAUUUUAAUAGUAUAGUGAACCUUAAAAAAGAUAACGUAUUUUAGUUAAAAAGGUAAUAACUAUAUUGUUCGAUGUUAUUUUAGAAAAUUGAGUUUUUCUAGUUAAAAAAUAUAAAAAAGAUAACAUAUUAUAAUUAAAAAAAUAAUUAGUUAUAUAAAUAGGCCUUAUUUCAGCCCAAAGUUAAAAAUAAUAAUUAGUUAUAUAGAUAGUCCCGUAUUUCGGCCGAAAUAUCGACCGAUCAAACUUUCAAUGUUUCAGUUUUAAAAAUAUAGUAUAGCUUUCGGCCCAAAGUUAAAAGAAUAAUUAGUUCUACAGAUAAGCCCGUACUUCGGCCCAAGUACCGACCGACCGACCAAACUUUUAAUGUUUCGGCUUUAAUAGUACUAACUUAUAGCCCGUGCAAGGCAUGGGAGCUUUUUAGUAAUUUAUAAACUUUUUAAAUAUAUUUUAAAUUAUGUGAAAAUUUUUAAUUUACAAAUAAUAAAUUAAAAUUUUCAAUUAAAUAAAAUUUGAAAUUAUGAUUUGUUUGCAAUUCCGAACUUUUGUAAAAAUAUAUAAUUUUUAUAUGAUGUUGGUACAAUUUAAAAUUUUAUCUUAAAUUUUAGUUGAAUCUAAUACAAAAUAUUAGUUUCCAUGAUUUAUUAGUUAUGAAUAACUUAAGCUAACGUAUUCGUCUUUAAUAAUAAAAAUAUUUAAUAGCAUGAGGUAAUGCAUAUUUGCAUAUAAUUUUUCAUUUUUCUUUUUUAAUAUAUAUACUUGAAUAAAAAUAUUUAUUUUAAAAAUAUUUUUAUGUUAAAUUAUUAAUCUUUAUAUAUAAAAUAUAUUCCCUACGGGCUACGUCCCAUCAUAUUAUUUAGAGUUUUUUUUUUGGGAUGUACCAUCAAAUUCUUUACAUUUCAAAACUUACCAAAUAGGUCCCACCACUACACAACUUUUCCUACCUUUUCACACUACUUUUACUCCUUUUUCACAAUACCUUUACUCUACUAUCUUCUUUUUAUACAUUAAAAAUUAAUAGGUCCCACUACUUACCCAUUUUUCUUUUUAUUUUCCACUACUUUGUACAUAUAUCUUCACCUCCGUGCCCAAACCAAACAUAAAGAUUGGCUGGGACGGAAGGAGUAUUCAUUAAUAAUUUGAAUAACAUGCAUGCAAAUAGAAGGCAUAACAUGUCUGGAUUAGGAAAAUUUGUUAAAAAUAUGCGUUAUAUUUUUCACACUUGUUUCUAAUUUGGAUAAAAAUAUUUUUGUGAUCGUGCAAUUUGUAUGAUUCUACAAAUAAAAAUGGGAAUAUUUAUUUUAGAUUAAAAUAACAUAAACACGUGAAAGAAAUAAUUUGUUUUGGAUUCAGAAAAGAAGAUAUCAGUUGCCUAGCUGCCUUAUAAGUUCUAAUCUAACAGUGCUUAUUUGAUCAAUAUACGAUCUAACGGAUGAUAAGCUUUUGGACCAGAGGACCAUGCGACCAAAUUAUCUCCCUUACGCUUAUUAUAUAAUACUAGCUUAUAGCCCGUGCAAGGCACGGGAGCUUUUUAAUUAUUUAUAAAUUUUUUAAAUAUAUUUUAAAUGGUGUGAAAAAAUUAAUUUAUAAAUAAUAAAUUAAAAUUGUACAUAUCAUGCCAAAGUAUUAAAUUCUUUCUAUCAAAUUUUAAACCAACUCCUAUUAGAUUAUAUUUAUAAAAGUUCUAAUCUAACAGUGCUUAUUUGAUCAAUAUACGAUCUAACGGAUGAUAAGCUUUUGGACCAGAGGACCAUGCGACCAAAUUAUCUCCCUUACGCUUAUUAUAUAAUAUAGCUUAUAGCCCGUGCAAGGCACGGGUGCUUUUUAAUUAUUUAUAAACUUUUUAAAUAUAUUUUAAAUGGUGUGAAAAAAUUAAUUUAUAAAUAAUACAUUAAAAUUGUAUUCUCAAAAUGGUGUGAAAAAAUUUAAUUUAUAAAUGUUAAAUUAAAAUUGUAUGUAUCAAUGCCAAAGUAUUAAAUUCUUUCUAAAUUUUAAAUUAUUUUAAGUAGUGUGACGCCAACUCCUAUUAGAUUAUAUUUAUAAAUGUAUUUUAUAUUAGAAUUAUUAUAAUGUGAUUUAAAUAUUUUUCUAAAAAUUUUUAUGGUUCGAGAUUAAAAUUGAUAAACACAAUUUGUUUUGAAUUAAGAAGAUGAAUCAUAAACAUGCAAUAAGAUGGUAGAAUUUGCUUUGGAUUAAAAAAUUUUUUUUGUAUUUGUUCCUCACAUAAAUCGGGCUUAUUAAUUUUGAAAUAUAUUAGGUAAAAAUAAUUUUGUGACUGUGCGAUUUAUAUGAUUCUACAAAUAAAAUUGGUAGAAAAUAUUUAUUUUGGAUCAAAAAAAAUCAUAAACACGGGAAAUACUUAAUUUGUUUUGGAUUCAGAAAAGGAUUUAUAAACAUGCAAGUAGAUAUCAGUUGUGUUAUGGAACAAAAGUUAAUUUUGUUCUAAUCCAACGGUGCUUAUUUGUUCAAUAUACGAUCCGAUGGAUAAAAAUAAUCUUGUGACGGUGUGAUUUAUACGAUUCCACAAUUAAAAUUUGUAGGAAAUAUUUAUUUUGAAUUAAAAAAAAACAAAAACACAUGAAAGACAGAAUUUGUUUUGAAUUCAGAAAAAGAAUUAUAAACAUGCAAGUAGAUGUCAGUUUCCUUAUAGAACAGAAUUUAAUUUUGUUCUAAUCUAACGGUGCUUAUUUGUUCAAUAUACGAUCCAACGGCUUUUGGACCACAGGACCUUGCGACCAAAUUAUCUCCCUUACGCUUAUUAUAUAUAAGUAUAUAAUAAGUAUAUAAUAGUAUAGAUAUGCUAGUCUUAAAUAUAUUUUUUUCCUAUAUAUAUGCUAGCCUCUUGAGACGUGAUCAUCCCAAACAAAAAAAUUUAACGGAAAAAGAAAAUGAGGAAUUCCAUCCUCUGUUUUUCCACCAUCUGUUUGUUGCUCAUCUUCCUGCAGUUGCAGCACAACCUAGUGGCUUGUUCAUUAAGCCCCCACUUGCAGAAACUUGCCUUGUUCCAUUUUAACCAAACCUUAACAAUCAGUACUACUAGCUGGGAUUGCGAAUACGUUUCCUACGAAGAGAAUGCAGUGUAUGAAAUUCCUUCACGGGCAAAGACAAAGAAUUGGAGCAUGAGUUCUGAUCACUGCACAUGGGAUGGAGUUAGCUGCGACGACAAGACAGGGGACGUUAUCGGACUGGAUUUAAGUUGCAGUCAGCUGGAAGGAGCCAUUCUUCCUAACAGCGCUCUCUUCCAGCUCUCUCAUCUCCGCUUCCUCAAUCUUUCUCAAAACGACUUUUACCUCGCCAGUCAGUUCCCUCAGGAAUUUGGUUUCUUUGCAAAAGGUUUGACGCAUCUCAACCUCUCUAAUACUGGAUUAUCAGGGAGAGUUCCCUCGGGAAUCUCUCAUUUGUAUAAACUUGUCUCACUUGAUCUCAGUGACAACUCAGUCUCACUUGAUCUCAGUCAGAACUAUGAGGCUAAACUUGAAGAAGAAGUGUUUAAAUCAGUGUUGCAGAAUUUAACUCAUCUUGAAGUGCUUAAUCUUAAUGGAGUUAAGAUCUCCUCUGUUUUGCCCCUGAAUAUCUCUACUUCUUUAAGAGUUCUUCAAUUGAGGUAUACUUAUAUACACGGAGUAGUACCCCAAGAGGUUUUCCACCUUCCCAACUUGGAAUUACUUGAUUUAUCACUUAAUGACGACCUGAGAGCAACAUUACCCAAAGUUAAGUGGGGAAGUAAAGUUACUCUCCAACACCUUCAUCUUUCAUACAUCAACAUAGAUGGAGGUAUACCUGACUCAAUAGGCUUUUUGGAGUCAUUAGUCAGUUUGGAUUUGAGCAGCUGUAAUUUGUCUGGGCCUAUACCAAGAUCCAUUGGGCACCUCGUUCAACUUACUCGCUUGGACCUCUCUCAAAAUAUUCUCAAUGGCCCAGUUCCAACAUUUUUUACAGACCUUACAGACUUAAGAUAUAUCUCCCUUUGGCAAAACAAUUUCACUGGAUCCCUACCUCGUUCGUUGUUUCACCAUCCAUCCUUAGAGUCCUUGUCUCUGGAUAAUAAUGCAUUCACGGGUCAACUACAUGAAUUUGAUUCUUCUCGCUCACGGCUGCAAUCUUUUUCUUGUUCCAACAAUUCACUCUAUGGAUCCAUUCCACAUUCUUUUUCUCAGCUUGUGAAUCUCACUGUCCUAGAUUUGUCAUCAAACAAUUUCAGCGGGGUUUUGGAUUUGGAAAUGUUUUCAGGCCUCGAAUCUCUAAAACGUCUUCAUCUUUCUGAUAACAGUCUUUCAGUGAGAAGUACAAUUAUGGCCACUCUCCCUCCUAAUCUUUACUCCUUGGGCUUGUCAUCUUGCAACAUGAAAGAGUUCCCCCACUUUUCAAGAGAUGCAAACAUCUCCCUGAAUCUUAUAGACCUAUCAAACAAUAAAAUUGAAGGGGAAAUUCCACACUGGAUUGGGUCGGUGGGGGAUUUCUAUGGAAUCCCUUAUCUGAAUCUAUCUCACAACAAACUAAUAGGCGGUCUUGAGCAACUGCCUUGGGGUUAUAUUCAAUAUCUUGAUCUCCAAGACAACAAGCUGAAUGGCUCCUUGCCCACCUUGAUGUGUAAUUCCAGCUCUCUUGAGAUUCUAAAUCUCUCUCACAACAAUUUGAGUGGUGUACUCCCCAUUUGUCAUACAAAUUUGACUCAGCUUUCGGUGUUGGAUCUGCGGAGGAAUAAAAUUCAAGGAAUCAUUCCAGCAACCUUGUCAAAUUUCCGUUAUCUGGAAACUAUUAAUUUGAAUGGAAACCGCUUACAAGGAAGCAUUCCUUCUUCUUUUGCUGAAUUAGAUUCUUUAGCCGUCCUUGAUCUUGGAAAUAAUCAGAUAAAUGAUACAUUCCCCCUGUGUUUGGAAGCUCUUCCAAAACUCCAAGUUCUUGUUCUCAAAUCAAACAAGUUUCAUGGUAUAAUAAACCAGAGUUCUGAGACAAAACACCCAUUUCCUAGCUUAAGAAUCAUUGAUCUUUCGUACAAUGAGUUUUCAGGUGCACUGCCAGAAAAAUAUUUUAGAAACUUCAAGGCUAUGAUGAAUGCGGAAGUGAAUAAGAUAAAUCGUAGCUAUAUGGAGCAUCGGUAUUACAGUGAUUCCACAGCUCUGGUGAUUAAAGGCAUGGAUAUUGAUUUACAUAGAAUUUUGACUGUGUUCACAACUAUUGAUGUAUCAAAGAACAAUUUUGAUGGGGGGAUAGCUGAAUACUUUGGAAAUCUAGUAUCACUCAGAUUUCUUAAUCUUUCUCACAAUUAUCUCACAGGCCACAUACCAUGCUCGAUUGGAAAAUUGACUGUGCUGGAGUCACUAGACCUCUCAUCCAACCAACUUGAAGGAGAAAUACCUCAGCAGCUCACUAGUGUAUAUUCACUUGCAGUUCUAAAUCUGUCUUGCAACCAACUUAGAGGACGUAUUCCAGAAGGGUGGCAAUUCGAUACGUUUGAAAACAGCAGCUACGCUGGUAACUUUGGGCUGUGCGGACAUCCCUUGUCGAAAAAGUGUGAAUCUUAUGUUAGGACACAAGAAGAAGAUGACGAAGAUGAGGAUGAAUGUCACUUUUUCUGUGGUUUUACUUGGGAAGCGGUGGUGAUUGGAUAUGGGUGUGGAGUGGUGCCUGCAUUUAUCACUGGCUACCUGAUGUUGCUGGCACGGAAACCAAAAUGGUUUGCUGGAAUCAUUGGCAGGGAAUUGGGGCUCAAGAUCAGGAGGAUGGAGAUUAGAAUGCGAUACUAAAGGUUUGCUGUAAUCUGUAUCCCAUUCCCAGGUCUUGAAAAUUCUGUAAUAAUAUAUAGUAAUAUCUGCUCUCAUAUAAUUCUAUAUUUGCAGAUUCAGAUGGGACAAGCAGGAUCAGAUGCAUUGGAAUCAACCACUAGUACUUCAGCUGUUUUGUCAUUCUAAAUUUUACAUUUUACAAUAAAAGUCAAAAGAUACAAGUUAUGUAGUAUUGUUUUGUUCCAGCCUCAGGCUCUUCAUUUCUAAAACAUGUUUGCGGAUGCUUUACAAUGUACAAUUUACAAUAUAUCAAAGUUUUUAAUAUACACUACCAGAACUGGGUUACAUUGCAGUGUUGUCGCCAUUUUUCUGAAUUUCACUAGUUGGGAAGACUGUAUAAAUUAUGUUAGAGUCGCUGCUAUCAGUGAUCGCGUUCAACAACUUAUCUCAAACUGGUAAGAUUUACUAAAUUUUUAAUUUCACAAGCUGUUGAUAGAAUAGAAGAUGCCUCAGUUUAAGGAUCGAGAAUGUAUUAAUGAACUGUCCCAGCCCUGAGAAAUUCUCUUUGAUGGGGCUGCAGUUUCAAUAAAUCGCCUCUUGUACUCAGCCAUCAUACAGUGAACCACCGUCCGAUGGUCGAAAUUGGCGAAGCAUGAUGGCUUUAAAUCAGCCCAUAACCUGAUGGGGUGGCAUUUCUGUUCCCCAUUAGUACCAAUGCAGGGUGUCCCCUUCCAAAGCUACUCUGCAACAAUUUCCAACAUCUCGUAUUCACUUAACCCGUUCAGUAGACAACAAGGUUAGGAGCAAGAAUGAGUCGGUGUCUGGACAUGAGAUUAGGAAUACUAUUACCUCUGACUUCUGAGGCCCGUGACAGAUCGAAGAGGCAUGAAAGUUGGGGACAGGGGACGGCUGGUGCAUUGGAAUGAAAGUAAAAAACUUUUUCAGAGCCUGAUGCUCUCAAGGAUGCAGUCUAAUGAACAAGCGUAAUGAUGUCAUGUUAACUGUCAACCACCUAGUCAAAAUUACUUGAAAUGAUGAAAUUUAUGACAGUAAAUUUAUGAUGCUCUGAGUUUGUUGAUCAACCAAGCUAUGUUGUAGGCAGCUCUUAUCUGAUCUGCAAUCAAGUUAAUGAACCACUACCUCAGUUCAACAUUUUACAUUUUACAGCUCAGAAUAAAAGAUUACAUGUGUAUUAAUCUGAUCAUCAUUUGUUUGAUCAAUUUAGAAGUUCGGCUUUGUUUACUUCUAUCCCGGGCUCUUCAUUUCUAGAGCAUAUUUGUUGAUACUUUUUAUUGAACGGUUAAGAAUAUACCAUAGAUUUUUAUAUUCGGCGUAGAUGAUUUUAUGUCCUGAUUUCAUUCCAUUCAUGAACUAAUUAAAAAUUUGAAAGUGGGUCAUAUCUGGCAGUGAUGCCAGCCCUUCCUGACCUGCAUUUCAUGACCACAAACUCCAAUUCUGCCCAAAAAUUGCAGCUGUUUCGUAAUAUUUUUCUACGUGCUCUUUUGUUUGGACUUGUUUGCUGGACCAUGCAUAUGUUUUGAUACAUCUUUGUUGAUGUUAACACUCUUGUGUCAGUUACUGGACUCAUUGUUAGUAGCCCAUUCUUUACGGCAGACAUUGAAUUGGAUUUACUUGAAGAAAUGAAGGAUUAAGAAAGUUCAGAACAAUUUGUUGAUUAUUUCCUUCCCUAGAAACUGCACUCCAGCAUCAAAGUACCUUUCAAAGACUCCAGACAUCAUCUCUUGAUUAUCAAAGACUUGGUCUUGCAUAUACUGAUAUACCGUGAAUAUAGGUUUCUUUCAUUUCCUUGAAAUUGCAUUUUUUGAAGUAGCUUUCCAGACUCAUUCCCGUCACUUCUCAAAGUCUUAUUCCCCAUCAAUACAUACACAUAAUAUCACACCAAUUUGCUCAUGCUCAGAUGGGCUUUUCUUACAAACCACACAUGUUCACUUCUCAUAGUCUUAGUCCUCGUUAAUAUAUACAGAUAAUAUCCCACCAAUUUGCUGGUGCUACAAAUGGGCUUCUCCUACAAGUCUACAACUACACAUAAUCGGAGAAAAGUCUGUCAAAUGGAUCUUGAAAGACCCUUCUGCAUUGAUUAUCAAAGUAUAUUAUCUGUUAACAUAAAUGUAUUUUAUCAAAGUACUCUCUAAAUAAAAACUAGUAAUAGCAGUUACACAGUAAAAAUUUUUCCUCAAACAAUUACCACCUCAAAUGAGAUAGGCAACCUUAGAUUCUCCAAAAGUGCUUAUAUUGCAACCCUUGUGUAAUGACUAAUAACAGUCAUGAUUAGUAGACAGACCAUAAUUGCGAUGGUUCGAACUUUUUUACUUGAGCUGGAGAGAAGACUUUGAACUGCAGUGUUAGCUAGGAGUUUUUGCACCGUUCCUUUCCCUGUCUUGAAAUUGCAUUUCAGCUCCAAAAGUAGAUUUCAGAGACUGAUUCAUGCCAUCUUUUAAUUUUCAAUGGCAUAGUCGCGAUGACACUCUCACUUCUCACAUUGGAAAACUUUUACCAACACAAUGAAAUUUAUAAGAGUAAAAUGCAAAGCGGUGGUUAAAUUUAUAAGAGUUCUAUCGAAGUCUAGUUUACCUAAAUAACUGCAAAAUGGUUAGGGUUGUUCACGAACCGAGCCGAGCCGAGUUUUGACCGAACCGAGCCAAGCUUUAAUUUUUUUUCUGACGAGCCGAGCCGGGCCGAGCUUUUUUAUCGAACAAAAUUUGUGUUCAAGCUCGGCUCGUUAACUAACGAGCCGAACACGAGCUUGUUCGCGAACAAAUACAAGCCGAACCGAGUAGAAUCGAGUCGAGCCGAGCCAGAAAAAAAAUAAGAACAAACCGCUAGUUGACUCUUAAAAUAGCUAACCAAAUAAUUUUAUUUUUUUUUAAACUUUGUUUAUAUCACUAAAAUGUAUAUAUGUUAACAUCCAUACGGUUGGAUCGGUAAGAAAUAUUUUUUAAAAUAUUGAAACACUAAAUUAGGAUUAAACACUAGUUAGCAGUACUAUUUAACCUUCUACUUGACUGUUAAAAUAGCAAACCAUAUAAAAUUAUUAUUUUCCGAAAUUUUGGUUACAUCACUGAAAUAUAUAUAUAUUAAUUAUAUGUUGAAUUCUGAGUUCAAUAACAUAUAUAAAUUAUAAAAAAAACCCCGAAAAUAUUACAUUUUUUCGAGCUUUAACGAGCCGAGCUCGAGCCGAGCGAGCUCGAGUCGAGCUCGAGCCGAGCUCGAGCCGAACAUACUAAAAGCUCGGCUCGAGCUCGUUUACUUAACGAACAAUUUUUUGUGUUCGUCCUCGAGCUCGUUAACUUAACGAGCCGAGCCGAACGAGCUCUUAACGAGCCGAGCUCGAGCUUGUUCGCGAACAGCUCGGUUCGUUAAGCAGCCCUAAAAAUGGUGAAACAAACUAGGGCUUAGAAAAUGGUACAAUUUGCGGUUUUGUAUCUAUUGGGCAUCUAUUUUGGUGUGCUAGUCAACUUGUAUGGUUCUUAAAGUUUACAACUUGAAACAGUUAAUAUCAAAUGUCAAAGUGAAAAUAUGUGUAGUUUUAACUUCACAAUAUUUUCUUGGUGCGGGCUAUGUAAGUUAUCUUUUACAUGGUGAAUCAAGUUAUGAUACUCAGAAUCAAUUAUGUUUCACUUUCGUAUUUUCCACCUGGUCGUAAGAUUUGUAGUUUUCCUUCGCUAUUGUAAAGGUUGUGUUCUAUUAAGGGUGAUAUAUGCGCACCCUAAAUUAAUUUAUGCACACUUUACCUUCUGUUUCAUAUCAAAUUACCCUUGUCUUUUAUCAUUUCAACCAAAUAUUUUAUUAAUUCAAAGGGGUAAUUUAGUACAAACUAGAUGAAAGGUGUGCAUAAAUAAAUUUAGGGUGUGCAUAAAUCAGCACCCAAUGUAUUUAGUGAUUCCACUGAUGAUAAUGUUAAGCAAUUAACAGGUAUUAAAAUGCUUUCAUUAUAAUGCAACUUUAUACUCCCUUUAUCCCAUUUUAACUGAGGUAAAAAAAACAAUAUCUACACCCAUUAAAAAAAAUUCAAUUUUUAUAUCAAAUAAAAGUUUAGAUUCUAAAAUUUUAAUUGAUGAUAUAAAUUUUAUAAACAAUAAUUAUGUUUAUAUGUGAUUUUCUUAACAUUUCAAAAUACAUGUAAAAAGGUCAAAAGUAGUUAAAAUGGGACGGAGGGAGUAUAUUUUUAUUCAAACUCGAGUCUCCCGUGAGUGGAGCUCUUAAUAUCAUGCGAAGUUAAUAUUCUCCUAAAAUCUCAAAAUGUUAGAUAGAAUGACUUAUAAAAAAAUUGAAGAAAAGUGGAGUUUUAUUAUAAGUUUUAUCCGUGUUACAUACUUACAUUGAAUAUCUGGUAGUAACGCAAAAAAUUUGGUCUCCUCUAUGUAUUUUUGCUGGCUUGGUCGAAUCAGUUGGAUUGCUGGUAUUUGAAUAAUCUAAUUUUUUCAGAAAUAAGAAUUUAUUUCUUGAGAAAAGUACAUAAAACUACUAUACUUUUUUGGUCUCCUCUAUGUAUUGUUUUAUUUUAUAAGUCGUUUAAGGUAUUUUCACACAUAUUAAAAAACUUCAUUGUUGCAUAAAAAAGUAUUUAUUAGUCAUUUCUUUUUCAUUAUUAUCCUCAUUUAAUGUCUCUUUUCUCUCUUUUUCUAUUGACUCAUAAUAUUAAAUAAGGGUGAUAAAAGUCAUUAGAUAAUUUAAAUUAUUCUUGAAAAAAAAAAAAGAACGACCUAUAUUUAUGAAUAAUAAUAUUUUCUAAAAUGAACUAUAAAAAAACAGAUGGAGUACUGUAUAUCAAGUGGAGAAGCAAGACUAAAGUGCAGUACUCCUAAGCCCACAUUGUACGGCGGUAGUACAUUUGAUUUUAUUCGGGGAAAACCAUGUUUAUGGAUUAUCUCAUCUGAAAGACCCUAUCCAUCAUCUUCCGAUUCUCAGAGUCUUGGCCUUCCAUUCCAUGCACUGCUCUGCACGUGCUUCUGUUUGAGAUCAAAAUCACCUGCCUUAAAAAAUUUGUUUCUUUUGUAGUCUAAUCUCUGUCCCAAUCAAAUAUAUACCUUAACUGUGCACGUAUUUUGAGAUUUUAAUAAAAUUUUGUUGUAAAAUACUUUUUAAAAUUUUUUUUUUUGAAUAAAAAUUUAAACCUCAAAUUUUUAUUCAGUUAAGGAAAAUUUUAAAUAAUGUUUUGUAAUUAUACUUUAACGAAGCCUUAAAAAAUAUACCAAAAAACAGCGUAUACAAUUCAUCAGACGAGCAACCGCCAACAAGAAACACCACCGACAAUAAUAAACAAGAUUAGAAUGCAUAAUAUUCUGCAUUGGUCGAUAACUAUCAUUAUUAAUUUCUUCCUGCUGCACCACCGACAAUAAUAAACAAGAUUAGAAUGCAUAAUAUUCUGCAUUGAUCGAUAACUAUCAUUAUUAAUUUCUUCCUGCUGAGAAUUGAAACCACGCCCUCUGGCAAUUCCAAAAUGUUCCCUUUUAUAUUUAGCAAAAAAUAAUGAAUGGUGCUCCCAUUUUUUGACUAACCCAAAAACUCGAUGAUGGGCAAAAAUUGCACUAAUAUUAGAAUGAUGGUGUUUAGACAAGUUCUUCAUUUCAAAUUUUAAAUAUUGAAAUAAUUAGAAAUAUAAUAUAUAACUAUAUGACAAACACUCUAAUUCAGCAAGAAUCUUAUUUUUUGUAUCAAUUUUUCAAUAAUUUCAGGUGAAUGGUAAUUUAAUAUAUAAUCAAAUUUUAAAUAUUGUAUAGUUUUUGUUUUAUAUUUUAAUAAAUUUCAUAAUAGUGAGGAUAUGAGUACAUAUAUACAUCAACAGAAGGGUCGUUUGGGUAAACUUUAAAAAAGUGACUUCUUUCUUCAAAUAAAAAUGUGCACUAUAUUCCGUCAAAAAAAAUGUGCAGCAUUAGUAAGAGGUAAGUCUAGACUUAAAAGUGAUUAAAAUUUUUUAAGGAAAAGUAGAAGUUCUGAAAAUAAAAGUUAGAAAUUUUGGCUUCUUACAGGUGUUUCUGACUUUUUACAAAAUUAUAAGCCGACUUUCUUAGAAAAAGAAGGCGGAAGCUGGGGCAGCCAAACAAACACAUGAUAUGACUUGAUAUACAAAAAAAUUACAUUUAAAUUACGUUUAUAACACAAAUAAUCUCAAUUUAAAAAUGAUGAACAAAGAGAUAUGAGAUAUAUUGAAAAAUAAUUGAAAGCAACCCGUGUUUUGCACGGGUUAAAAAGCUAGUUCUAAUUAAAGGGAAAAAAGCCAUCGACUAAAAUUGAACACGGAUGGGAAUUAUAAGAAGCAUAAGCAAACAAACUUUUCUCUACAAUAAAAGGUGAUGGGUUGAAGUCAAGAAAACACCGAUUCAUCUUUGUACAAAGUUAAAAAUACUAACGGCUCUUUGCUUAUAGCACUACAAGAAAACUCAUUUUAAUGACAGAAAUUCUGUUAACAUGAUAAGGAUUUUCGUUGGUAAAUCACCGCCAAGGGAAUGAUAAUGAAAAUAAUUGGUUGGCAUAUAGUUGAUCGGGAAGUUCAUGCUAACGGAACAAAUUCGUUGCUAAAUUGGUUUCUUUUGAUAAAAGAUGAUGGGUUGAAGUCAAGAAAACAAACACAACACUUUUACAGAAAGUUAAAAAUACUAACCGCUCUGUGCUUAAAGAGUGGCAUAAGUAAGCAGUUCUCCGUGUGCUAGAAAUUCCUUCAUUUCUUGCUCUUCUAAGCCAACAACAGCUCUAAUACCAUCAUUCGCGGUAUCCAUCAGAGUGAUGACAUCAACCAUCGGAGUGUCCACAAGCACAGCUUUAACCGGCUUUCCCCACCCGAAAUCCAUGAUAUCAUAUAGCGGGAAAUUACACAUGCUUGUAAUAACGUAGAACCUGUACUUGUGUUUUGUGAACUCAAGAAACUCAGUCUCCAUUUCGUGUCCUUCCAUACUCUUGAUUCCUUUUAGCUGUUCCCUCUCUUUCCUCAUUCGUGCUACCAACGUUCUGUACUUUUUGUCCGCCUCUGUGGUCGCUACAAUGUGGUUUAGAAUCUGGAAAUUCCCCACAGUUGUUUCUUGCAGUGGCGGAUCAAUCAUAUGCCUCACAUUGACAGCCCGCAUUAAAACGGAUCCAUUAUGCACUCCAGCAUUAGUCCUAUCUGCCACGCUUACAAGACAUCUGUAAAGGAGUGCAGUCAGAAGCUCGUUGCGGGUGUAUUUUUGAUCUUCCACUACUCCAUCCAGCUUAUCCUCGUUAUUCACCACAAUCUUCAGUUCUGCUAGCUUUGUGUUGGGAAACACUAAUUCCUUCGUCGUCCAAUUCUUAUCUGGAAAUAUGAUGGUUUCGAUGGCAUUAAUAUCAUAGGAUAGAGGCAGCAGAGCAUUCACCAGAACGGGACAGAGAUGUAACAGUUUUCGGUGAUCACCAGAAUGGAGUGACAGAGUGGCCCAAUACCUUAAAAGUGUGCAGGUAGUCAGAGCAUCACCCAGAAGGUGAGAAAGGCAAAAAAUUGCUGACGAAAAAAUGUACAAACUAGUAAAAAAUGAAAAUCACUUCUGGUAGUAAAAAAAGUCUAAACUAGAACCUAGUUCAGCCCAAUAUUUUAGCAUUAGUUUUAACUGCAAAAAUCACUAAUUUGUACAUUAUUAAUGAUUAAUUUUUAAAUAGAAAUAUCACAAAUAAAUAAAUAAAUAAAUAUAAUUAAAAAAUUAAAAAAAUCAUCAAUUUUCACCAAAAAGUCGUAUUUUCCCAACUAGUUCUACCAUGGAACCAUAUAUAUUUGUCCAAAGUGAUUUACUGUUCAAUAUCAAGUCUAAAAAAAUACACAUAAAACACUACCUUAAAAGUGUGCAGGUAGUAAGAGCAUCCCCAAGAAGGUGAGAAAUGCUAACUGCUACAGCCAUCCCUCCACAAUCGAAACGGUUGAGUUGCACAUACAUUAUAUUACCCGAAUGCUUCUCAGAAAACUGAUUCCGAAUUGUGCAAGGUGGAAACAGAUGGCCUAAUCCGUCUUCUUCCUUGACUGCAGCUCUAUCCUGAACCUCCGACAUAUUGCAUCCGAUUUGAGCCUCGAUAAAUUGAACGCCUUCAUCGUUACAAUCGACGUACGAUCCAGAGCAUAUCCUUCCUGCAAAUGGAUAGUACUUGGACAGUGUCUCCGACAAAGACUUCUUCAGUAGAUCUGAUGCAUUAUCAGGGACCCGUUCACGAAUGGGAUCAGAGUUGUUUUUGGGAUAGAAAAAAAUCAGUGGAAUAUAAAAAUUUGGAACCAUGCGAUCAUGUAAAGGAAUAUUGUAUCGUUUGAGGUUCGAGGGAGUUGGAGAAGCUGGUUUAAUGCUGCAGGAAGAUCUUGAGAUUACAUGCAGCUGCCUUCUAAAUACUAAUGACAACCUCAUCAAUCCUUUAAACGUCAUUUUUAACUUGCCAAACCAAACUUUGAUGUGUAUAUCAGAUAUGAGCUGGUUUAAUUGGGGUAUUUAUACAGAUUUAUAAGAGAAGAUUACAGCCCAUGCCAAAAGACUUGGCGGUUGAAGCUGGUGAGAUGAUAUAACUCCUGAUUAACCGGAAAUCAGGGAUUAAUCGUAAGGAUUAAUCAGAGUGAAAAUCGGUUUUAUUUUGAAUAUUAAAAUAUUAUUUUUAAUAUUUAUUUAUUACUAUAUUAAUUAUUUAAUAAUAAAUAUAUUUAAUAUAUCAUAAAUUUUAUAAUUGUUCAUAUUUAAAGUAAAUAAGUAGUAUUCAAUUUUAAUAAUUUAUUAUAUAUAUAUACUUCGCUUGAGAAAAAUUUAUACGGAUUAAUCGAAUUUUAAAAAUCGAAUCAAUCGGCCAUCUUGCAGGAGAUUAAUUGGGAAUUCAUCGAUAAAAUCAAUAAUUUUUAAAACACUGCCGGCAACUGUAAGUAUAAAAAAUAGGAAUAAACAAAGAGCACUGGGAACCACAUGCAAGUGAUUGUUUACUGCUGGUUCUACCGGUCUCUGCCAAAAACUCUGAUAAAUACCAGACAAAACUACCAGUCUCCCUUGCAUAAAAUAUCUAAGCUACAUAGGAAUCUUUUUAUGUCUAUGCUACAAGACAUUUUUUAUGACUUGGAUCCCAUUUCAUUUGUGGCAUUGCAGCAGUUCAUUCUUUAUUUCCUGAAUUUUCUCUAUAAUCUUUACCUCAUGCCUCUUAAUUUUUAUUCAAGAUAAUUUUUUUUGCAAAUUACUGUGGUUCUGCUUUUCUUAUCUUUUCUUCUUUUGGCUUUGCUGGUACUUUUCCUUUGCCAGUUUAAUUUUACCUUCAACUUUGAGAAAUAAAUGUAUUUAGUGAUUUCACUGAUGAUAAUGUUAAGCAAUAGGGUUCAAAAUGCUUUCAUUAUAAUGCUACUUUAUUUAUUUAUAUUCAAACUCGAGUCUCCAGCAAGGGGAGCUCUUAAUACCAUGUGAAGUUAAUAUUCUCCUAAAAUCUCAAUAUGUUAGAAAGAGUAAUUUUUUAUUAAAAAAAUUGAAGAAAAGUAGAGUUUUAUUAUAAAUUUUAUACGUGUUACAUUGAAUAUUUAAAAGUAAAGCAAAAAAUUUGGUCUCCGCUAUGUAUAUUUGCUGGCUUCGUCGAAUCAGUUGGAUCGCUGGUAUUGGUGAGAGCGUGAGACAUUAAAGGGAGAUGGGCUGAUCAGAUCAGCUUGGUUGAUAAUGUCUAAAUCCAAUUCCUUAACAAGGAAUUGAUUUUACUCAUGAAAAAAGAGUGAUUAAAAAAAAAGUUUGCAGAAAGUCAAGACUCAAACCCCAUUCUUAUCAAGUCUUCCACUACUCUAUGCACAAUUCAAAAUACACAAAGACCAACCAAAAAGUUCUUGGAAGUAAUCAAAUAAAUGAUACUCUCCAAGUUCUUGUUCUCAAAUCAAACAAGUUUUAUGGUCUUAUAAACACGAGUUCCAAGAUUGUACACCCAUUUCCUAGCUUGACUGCUUGAGAAUCAUUGAUCUUUCGUACAAUGAGUUUUCAGGUGCACUGCCAGAAGAAUAUUUCAGAAACUUUAAGGCUAUGAUGAAUGCGGAAGUGAAUAAGAUAUAUCGUAGCUAUAUGGAGCAAGAUUAUUACACUGAUUCCACAGCUCUAGUGAUUAAAGGCAUGGAAAUUAAUUUAAAAAGAAUAUUGACUGUGUUCACAACUAUUGAUGUAUCAAAAAACAAUUUUGAUGGGGAGAUAGCUGAAUACUUUGGAAAUCUGGUAUCACUCAGAUUUCUUAAUCUUUCUCACAAUUAUCUCACAGGCCAUAUACCACGCUCGAUUGGAAAAUUGACUGUGCUGGAGUCACUAGGCCUCUCAUCCAACCAACUUGAAGGAGAAAUUCCUCAGCAGCUCACUAGUGUAUAUUCACUUGCAGUUCUCAAUCUGUCUUGCAACCAACUUAGAGGACGUAUUCCAGAAGGGUGGCAAUUCGAUACGUUUGAAAACAGCAGCUACGCUGGUAACUUUGGGCUGUGCGGACAUCCCUUGUCGAACAAGUGUGAAUCUUAUGUUAGGACACAAAAAGAAGACGAAGAAGAUGAGGAUGAAUGUCACUUUUUCUGUGGUUUUACUUGGGAAGCAGUGGUGAUUGGAUAUGGGUGUGGAGUGGUGCCUGCAUUUAUCACUGGGUUACUGAUGUUGCUGGCACGGAAGCCAAAAUGGUUCGAUGGAAUCAUUGGCAGGGAAUUGGGGCUCAAGAUCAGGAGGAUGGAGAUUAGAAUGCGAUACUAAAGGUUUGCUGUAAUCUGUAUCCCAUUCCCAGGUCUUGAAUAUUCUGUAAUAAUAUAGUAAUAUGUGCUCUCAUAUAAUUCUAUAUUUGCAGAUUGGAGAGGCAUGAACAUUUUGGCAUGUAAGUUGAUGGGACAAGCAGGUUUCAGAUUCAUUGGAAUCAACCACUACUUCAGCUGUUUUGCAUCUUUUGUGAUUUUAAAUUUUACAUUUUACAAUAAAAGUAAAAAAGAUACAAGCUCCAUGGACAAGUUUUGUAUUGUGUAGUUCCAGCCUCAGGCUGAUGGUUUAUAAUGUACAAUUUACAAUAUAUCACAAUUUGUAAUAUACAGUACCAGAUGAUUUUAUGGCCAAAUUAUCCUUAAUCGCUUUCAUGAACUAAUGGAAAUUUGUAAAAGCGGGUCACAUUUGCAGUGAUGCCGCUAUUUUUCCUGAAUAUUCCUAGUUCUGAAGAUUGUCUAAAUCAUGUUAGUAGCUGCCAUCAGUGAAUGCAUUCAACGGCUUACUGAAACUGGUAGAGAUACUAAAUUCACAAGUUAUUGAUAGAAUAGAAGAUGACAGAGUGUCCAUGCGUCAGUUUAAGGAUCGAGAUGUGUAGCCGUGACUUGUAUUUUAAAAUUGCACAAGAUGCUUUACAAUGGUAGCAGAGGGCUGCGGAUUUAUUGGGUUAGUUGGAAGCACUCAAGUCGAAUUGGUUGUAGCAGAGCAAGAAGCUGAGCACGACCAUAAGAAUUUGAACUCUGAGGCUAAUUUGACUCUACUUGUAAGCCUUCCACUAGACAGCAAGGUUAGGAGAAAGAUUGAGUCGAUGUAAGCCUUCCUCUGACGCCUGUGACAGAUCAAUGAGGCAUGAAAGUUGGGAACAGGGGACGAUUGGCGUAUUGGAAUGGAAGUGGAAAACUUCUUCAGAGCCUGAUGCUCUCGGAGAUACAAUCUAAUGAAAAAGCGUAAUGAUGAUCAUGACUCCGCCCUUGCUCUAAAUCAGUAAGAUCAACCUCUCUACACAAUUCACUAAUACCACCUCUUUAUAACAUUCUCACUCCUAGGUGAUGAAUAAAGUAUCAAGAAACAUAUUUUGUAUAAUGAAUUAUAUUUUUUAUUAUAUUCCUUUUUUUAAAAUAUAUUGCGUAUUACACUGUUUAUUAAUUCUAUUUGAAGCAAUUAAUUAAUUUUUAGCCGUAAUUUAACUUUCAAGGUAGCAUUAUCAGCAUGAGGAAUAGGCAGAGCUUCCAGAUGCUCUCUUCUGAUAGAUAUCAUUCAGCACUUGCUCUGAGUUUGUUGAUCAACCACGCGAUGUUGUAGGCAGCUCCUAUCUUAUCUGCAAUCAAGUUAAUGAACCACUACCUCAGUUGUUAAGCAUCUUUCAACAUUUCACAUUUUUGAGCAUUUAAUUAAUUAGUCAUCAGUCUUGUAUUUAGCUUGAUCGAACAUAAUUGUUCUCUUCAAUUUCUUUGCCUACUUGUCGACGUGUUUAUGUAGCGUGUCUCUACUCUGUAGCUUACACAUCAUUGAUUCAUGUUAUUUUCCCCUUAGGAACUUGAGAGACAUUUGGCAUCAAAAGAAGCUUCUCUCCCGCAAGAACCAUUUUCCCCUUAUGAACAUUUGACAUUUUGGUGUUGCUGAGAGCGCAGCGACUUUUGAUGAACUCGGCCUGUCUGGCAGACAGGAGGCCUUGUUUCUGGAGUUAAUAUAGCGGAUCUCGAAGAGUUUACCCAGAUGGACCAACUUUGUUUGUUAGUUGGAUGUAAAAGUUGUUUAGAGACGGGUAUUUUGUCGAAGUUUGUAUCUAUUGGGUAUUUCGUCUUUUAGUCAGACUAUGGCUCAUACAGUUUCAUACAGUUUGAAGUUGAUAUCAAAUCUUAGAUUAAAUUACUGAACAUUGUUUCUUGAAUUCGAUAUCGAAUUUUAAACGAAAAUAUGUUCAGUUCUAAUUUAAAAGUUAUGCAAAUUACAUUAAUAAUAUGUGGCCCUGUUUGUUUACCAAAAGCAGAAGCUGCUUCUGGCUUCUGCUUUUCUUGACCCGUUUGUGUAAAGAAGCAGAAGCACUUUUAAUAAACUGAGAAUCCUAACUUCUCUCUCACAGCUUCGGCUUCUUUUCCAAACACUUUAUUCACUUAUUUACUUCUCACUUCUGCUCCACUUCUCUAGUUUAAGCAAGAAGUCACUUCUUUUAAGCUUGCCCAAACGGCCCCAUAAUCUAUUUUGAGUCUCUUGGUCUUCGGUCUUCUAUUGCAGCAUAUCAUGCACAUCUCAAAUGAUUGAAAAUGAACUCUCUCCAAAAGACAAGGGGGUCUGUUGAAGUAGACCUGGAAUUGAUUUUACUUGAAGAAACAAUAAUAGGUCACCUUUUAAAGUUUUGGUCUUUGUCUUUUAUCUCUUAAAGUCUUUGUCGUUUACAUCUCAUACAAUUUGCUAUCGUAUUUAACACUUCACACAAUUCCAUGCUAUCGUAUUGAACACUUCACACAAUUCCAUAAUAUUGAAGAUUUUUGGCUUGAAAUAUUCUAGAGAAUAAGGUUGUACAUAAAAUUCAAUAAUUUAUUUCCUUUCCUUCAAUAUUACAACUCAUAUAUUUGUUGCCAAUGACUCAUUCAAUUCGCAUCAAUUAUUAUCAUCUUCACUUUAUCAAAGAGUCUUGCUCUUCGUCCUUUACAUGCUUUUAUUACGAUCCCCAUGUGCUUUGAAAAUACUUGUGUUAUAGUCCACAUCAAUCAAUACUCCUUAUUAAUAAGCGAAACCACAUUUCAGUGGAACAUCGGUACUAAAAGUACCAAAUUUGAUCAUCUUAUAUCAUAUUUAAUUAUUAUUAUUAUUAUACUCCUAUUAAAAGUAUUAUAUUAUCCUUAGGAGAUUUAUAUUGGUCAGGAAUUUAUAAUAUUUUAAGAUAUUAUAAUUAAAGACGACUUCUAUAAUUAUUAGGAUUUUAUAAUUAAUAUAAACUUCUUACUUAAUAAUGAUAAUCAUUAAACUAUUUUGAAAAAAUGUCGUAUUGGUUAGAAUUUUAUAAUUUUAUUAUAUUAUAAUGAAAAGACUUUCAUAUUUAUUAUGAUUUUAUAAGUAAAUACUUUAAUAUUGGUUAGGAUUUUAUAAUUAUCUUGAUAUUGAUUAGAAUUUUAUAAUUAAAGACUUCAAUGUUAUACUAUUAAAAAAAGAUUUCUAACGUUGUUAGGAUUUUGGAAUGCAACAGUUAUACCACCAAUAAAAUUAUUUAUUUUAAAUUCUUUAAACUCAAAUAAUUUAAUUUAUGAAACAACUCUGUAAAACUCCUAUCAUAUUUCAGCAUUCAAAUAAAUAAAGAUUUAUAUUGAUAUUACUUUUUAUUAAUAUGCCAUAUUUUUCUUUAGUGGAAGAACAUGAGUACCAAAUACCGAAUUAUCAAAAUUUGGUUAAUAUCAUGUAAUUUUAACAUUGUCGUACUCUUCACAAUAUAAUAAUAUUAUUAUAAUAACGGAAAGGGGGUGGUAGCACUAUCAUGAUAAAUGCAAAUUCCAAUGAGAAUAAAAUUACUGUGAAAAUUUUAUAAAUAAAUUAAUUUUAAAUUUAUUUAAUUUAUAAUCUCUAUUAUAGUUUUAUAUUAAUUUGAAAAAUAUCUAUUAAUAUUGAAUAUACAAGAACUUCAAUUAGUGUUACACUUAAUAAUAUUUAUUAGACGUCUAAAAUAACUAUGAACUAAAAAAAUUAAGUUUUAUUAAAAAUGGUUGAAUUUUUUUUCCAUCUAUUUAGAAUAAAAACAACAUAAUAAUUUUAUUAAAAUGAAACUUACCAUUUUAAAAUAAAUUCAUAUAAUAACAUAUAUCCUGAGAAUGUUUAUUUUGAAAAAUAAAACUUAAACAUAAUUAAAUAUUAAUAUGUUAAUGCAUAAUAAGUUUUGUAUCUCAACAAUAAUAAUUUAAAUAACUAUAUCAAAAAUAUUAUAAUUCCAAUAAAUAAUAAACUUAAAAAAUUUAUAUAAUCCCGUGCUUGGCACNCAAAAAUAUUAUAAUUCCAAUAAAUAAUAAACUUAAAAAAUUUAUAUAAUCCCGUGCUUGGCACGGGUUAUAGACUAGUAUUGAUAAAUAGACAAAUUACAAUAUUUAGUUCAUUAAUGAAGAGAUAAGACAUUCAUGUGUAUGUAUUUGAAAAAUAAAAUAUUAUGAAGCUAAAUGAAUAAACACUUCUGAAAAGUAAAACCCGUUUCUGGUCCAUUUUGUAGCUUGAAGAAAUGAAGCAGAAGUCAAGAUUUCCUUGAAGAAACAAAAUUUUAUAAAAGUUAAAAACAAUUCGAUAAUUAUUGUCUUUUUAAAAAACGGAGCACGCAACACUCUUUUAUAUCAUAUUUCAAUUCUUAGAGUCUUCCUUCUACUACUCCAAAAGUGGUUCUAUUAUAGGCCACAUAUUAAUAGAUCGAUACAAAUUUAUUAAAAAGAUCCUUAUUUUCAACAAUCAAUAUCAGUUUGACUACAAAUUUAUCUGAAAUGACCCUUGUUAAUGGACUCUAGCUUAUAGGGUCAAACUUGGCUAUACAUGCCUCGGAGAAAAUUCACCAGUUCGUAGAAGAGACCUUUCUGCUAUCAACUCUAUGAAAAAUGCAGCACUUAUCAUCUAAAUAAAAAUCAGUAAGACUAUCUUAGAUUCUCUGAAGUGUUUAUAUUGCAGCCGCUUGUAUUGAAUACACACAUAAAUAACCACACAUAAUCAGCAAGGUUCGAAUUUUUUUGGUUUAACCAUAUCACCAACAUGAAGAAAAGACUUUCAAGCGUCAUAAUAGCUAAGAGCUUUUAUUUUCAGGAUAACCCCGGUCUAGAUUAUUAUAAAAAACUUGUUUAUAUGGAGACAUAAUAAAGGUCCCAGAAUUUUUUACUCUUCAAGAUUUCCGUUUCUAGCCAAAUUUUUUGACCAUAAAUAAUAUAUUGGUUUUACCUGAAAACAAAAUUUAAAGAAAAUUCAAAUUUUUUUAUUACUUCUUUUCUUUUAUUAUUACUUCUUUUCUUUUAUUUUGAAAUUGCAAAACAGCUCAAAGUAGUUCUAAAAGAAUCAUUCUCCCCGCUAGAAUCAGUUACAAUUAAGGUUGACAAGAUGUUUUAGCUGCGAGUUCUUCAAAUUAUUGCUCGUAAGGUCCACGACAGCUUAGAUAGUCACCAAAACUUUGGCCUGUGGAUUAAGUUGAUGAAAUCUAGUGUAUUAGAAUCAAUGACAGCACUAUUUUAUGGGAUUGAUGCUCACUCUUCAUAUUAUGUGUUUUUCUAAUGUGUGUGUCCAAAUACACACAAUAAACACUAAAUUUGAUAAAAAAUCGUAAUAUUAGUCAUUCCGCUCAUAAAUUUCAAGUGGAGAAGAAAGAGUUUCUCAAAAAAAAGUGGAGAAGAAAGAGCAUCGUGAUUGUCAUUGUACCCUUAAAAUUUGUUCGAUUAGGUUUUUUACAUAGUUUGCGCGUGGUCAUCUGGGUAUGCCUUCAUUAUAUUAAGCCAAUCUAGUAAUUCCAUAUUAAACAAGUUUAAAAUUUUCAAAUUUUGAUCUUAAUAAAAUUGAAAAAAUAGUGAACUUUUUCUUAUUUAUGAUAUUAACAAAUCUCUUACUUUUUUAUUACUGUAUUCAACUAAAUAUUUUUUACAAACCCUCAUAAAUGCAUCACAUCAGUUAUGAAAUUUAAAACAAAUAUAUCCAAUUUCUUCGAGAAAGAUGGUUGUAUAAUUUUUAAUUAAAAAAUUUAAUUAUUUUUAUUUUUAACAUAAUUUACAACUAAAAAAAUAUUAUAUGUUCACUGCUUUGUAAUAUAAUUAAAUAUAUCUUAAAUACAGUUUUUCCUAUAUAUAUGCUAACCUCGAGAGACGUUGAAGAUCAUCCCAAACAAAAUUUGAAAGGGAAAAUGAAAAUGAGGAAUUGCAACCUCUGUUUUUUCACCAUCAGUAUGAUGCUCAUCUUCUUGCAGUUGCAGCACCACCUGGUGGCUUGUUCAUUAAGCCCCCACUUGCAGAAACUUGCCUUGUUCCACUUUAACCAAACCUUCACAAUCACUCCUGGGGAUUGCGAGUAUUAUUCCUACAAAGACGAAGAAUUUUACGAAAUUCCUUCACGGGCAAAGACAAAGAACUGGAGCAUGAGUUCUGAUCACUGCACAUGGGAUGGAGUUAGCUGCGACGACAAGACGGGGGACGUAAUUGGACUGGAUUUAACUUGCGGUCAGCUGGUAGGAGCCAUACACUCAAACAGCACUCUUUUCCAACUCUCUCAUCUUCGCUUCCUCGACCUUUCUUACAAUGACUUUUCCCUCUCCGAUCAGUUCCCUCAGGAAUUUGGCUUCUUUGCAAAAGGAUUGACGCAUCUCAACCUCUCUCGUACUGGAUUAUCAGGGAGAGUUACCUCAGGAAUCUCUCAUUUGCAUAAACUGGUCUCACUUGAUCUCAGUGAGAACUUUGAAGCUGAACUUGAAGCAGAAGUGUUUAAAUCACUAUUGCAGAAUUUAACGCAUCUCAGAGUGCUUAAUCUUCAUGAAGUUAACAUCCCAUCUGUUUUGCCGGUGAAUAUCUCUACUUCUCUAAGAGUUCUUCAAUUGUCGUAUACUCAUAUACACGGAGUAGUACCGCAAGAAGUUUUCCACCUUCCCAACUUGGAAUUACUUGAUUUAUCAAAUAAUCACGACCUGAGAGCUACAUUAUCCAAAGUUAAGUGGGGAAGUAAAGCUACUCUCCAAUACCUUCAUCUUUCAUACAUCAACAUAGAUGGAGGUAUACCUGACUCAAUAGGCUUUUUGGAGUCAUUAGUCAGUUUAGAUCUGCUCGACUGUAAUUUGUCUGGGACGAUGCCAAGAUCCAUUGGACACCUCGUUCAACUUACUCACUUGGACCUCUCUUUUAAUAAUCUCAAUGGCCCAAUUCUAACUUUUUUUACAAACCUUACUGACUUAAGAUAUAUGUCCCUUGGGCUUAACAAUUUUACUGGUCCGUUUCCCUCUUUUCUUGCCCACUCUAGUAAACUAGUUGAGUUGUAUCUUUAUGGUAAUAGGUUUACUGGAUCCGUACCUCGUUCGUUGUUUCACCAUCCAUCGUUAGAGUUCUUGAAUUUGGCAUAUAAUGCAUUCACAGGUCAACUCCAUGAAUUUGAUUCUUCUCGAUCUCGGCUGCAAUCUUUUUCUUGUUCCAGCAAUUUACUCUAUGGAUCCAUUCCUCAUUCAUUUUCUCAACUUGUGAAUCUCACUGAACUAGACUUUUCAUCAAACAGUUUCAGCGGGGUUUUGGAUUUGGAAAUGUUUUCAGGCCUCGGAUUUCUAAAACGUCUUGAUCUUUCUCAUAACAGUCUUUCAGUGAGAAGUACAAUUACGGACACUCUCCCUCCCAAUCUUUACCACUUGGACUUGUCAUCAUGUAACAUGAAAGAGUUUCCUCACUUUUCAAGAGAUGCACACAUCUUCCUGGAUUUUGUAGACCUAUCAAACAAUGAAAUUGAAGGGGAAAUUCCACACUGGAUUGGGUCGAUAGGGAGGUACUCUGUCUACUAUCACAUCCCCUAUCUGAAUCUUUCUCACAACAAACUAAUAGGCGGUCUUGAGCAAUUGCCUUGGGGUCAUAUUAGGUUUCUUGAUCUCCAAUACAAUAAGCUGAAUGGAUCAUUGCCCACCUUGAUGUGUAAUUCCAGCUCUCUUUAUAUUCUAAAUCUCUCUCACAACAAUUUGAGUGGUGUACUACCCAGUUGUCCUACAAAUUUGACUCGUCUUUCAGUGUUGGAUCUGCGGAGGAAUAAAAUUCAGGGAAACAUUCCAGCAACCUUGUCAAAUUUCCGUAACCUGGAAACUAUUAAUUUGAAUGGAAACCGAUUACAAGGAAGCAUUCCUUCUUCUUUUGCUGAAUUUGAUUCUUUAGCCAUUCUUGAUCUUGGAAAUAAUAAGAUAAAUGAUACAUUCCCCCGGUGUUUGGAAGCUCUUCCAAAUCUUCAAGUUCUUGUUCUCAAAUCAAACAAGUUUUAUGGUCUUAUAAACACUAGUUCUAAGAUUGUAUACCCAUUUCCUAGAUUGAGAAUCAUUGAUCUGUCGGACAAUGAGUUUUCCGGUCCACUGCCAGCGAAAUACUUCAGAAACUUCAAGGCUAUGAUGAAUAGUGAUGUAAGCAAAAUAGAUCGCAGUUAUAUGAAUUAUAGUUCCUAUUACAGUGAUUCCACGACUCUGGUGAUUAAAGGAGUAGACAUGGAGUUGGUAAAGAUAUUAACUAUUUUUACAACCAUGGAUGUCUCAAGGAACCAUUUUGAAGGGGAGAUUGUAGAAUCAAUUGGAAAUCUGGUGUCACUUAGACUUCUCAAUUUAUCUCACAAUCAUCUCAGAGGCCGCAUACCAUUCAUGAUUGGAAAUUUGUCAAUGCUGGAAUCACUAGACCUCUCAUUCAACCAACUUGAAGGAGAAAUUCCGCAACAGCUCACCAGUAUAUAUACACUUGAACGUCUUAAUCUGUCAUGCAACCAACUCAGUGGUCGUAUUCCACAAGGUUCUCAGUUUAAUACAUUUGAUAAUGAUAGCUAUGCUGGUAACUUGGGGCUGUGUGGAAAUCCAUUGUCCAAAAAGUGUGAACCUGAUAUUGUGGAGAAAGAAAGUGACGAAGAUGAGGAUGAUGAUUACUUCUUUAGUGGAUUUACUUGGGAAGCGGUGGUGAUUGGAUAUGGGUGUGGAGUGGUGCCUGCAUUUAUCACUGGCUACCUGAUGUUGUUGGCACGGAAACCAAAAUGGUUUGCUGGAAUCAUUGGCAGGGAAUUGGGCCUGAAGAUCAGGAGGAUGGAGAUUAGAAUGCGAUAACUAAAGGUUUGCUGUAAUCUAUAUCCCAUUUGUAGGUCUUCAAUAUUCAGUAAUAAUAUAGUAAUAUCUGCUAUCAUAUAAUUCUAUAUUUGCAGAUUGGAGAGGCAUGAACAUUUUGGCAUGUAAGUUGAUGGGACAAGCAGGAUUCAGAUGCACAUGAAUCAACUACUUCGGUGUUGUAGGCAGCUAGGUUAAUAAACCACUACUUGAGCUGUUAAGCAUCUUUGGUCAUUUUAAAUAUAAAUUGUACAAUAAAAGAUACUUACUCUGCACAUAUUCUAAGUUCCAUAUACAAGUUCUGUAUUGUUUAGUUACUCUGCACAAACUCUAAGUUAGUUUCAACCACUGGGGUGUAAGCAGCCAAGUUAAUAAACCAGCAGUUUCUGUAGCUUUCACAACGUUGCUUCAUAUUAUUUUCCCCCUUGUUAGAUGAGCAAUAUAUUUGUGGAAUGGAUGUACCUGAAUUUGGUAUCCGAAGCUUAGUUAUAGAAAUUGUAGAUCAGCUAGUUUGCAACUUACUGGAAUGCUUUCCAUUGGACUUGAUUUACUCGUAGAGAAGCAGCACGCAAUGUUAAGGAAGGCCUGAUACAUAAUGUAUUUAAGAUAAUGUUUUGCAUCAAUUAUUACAAAAAGCUACUACUUUAAAUUGAUGAACAUUUACUAUAGCAGUACUGUGGUAUUAAAGUGAGUACUAAUAUUAGUGGCGGAGGCAGAACACAAUGUUAGGGGGGCACUUUUUAAUUUUUAACAUUCUAGGGGCAAUUUUUAACAUUCCAGGGGACACAAAAAAUAAUAUUUUGUAGAUUAAUAUUAUCAAAUAGAGUUAAGUUCUAUGGAGUACAUAAAAACAUUAGAGUAUUGGAGUACAAAUCAUAAUUUUUUUUAGUUUGAUUCUAUAUAAUAUCUUUGAAUAUCCAAAUUUUGAUAUAAUCUAUCAUUUAUAAGUUGUGUUGCACAUAAUUGUCAAUUAAUCAUUAAUAUCUUUCAACUUUAACAAAGAUUAAGAUUAUUGUUCUGCUUAUUAGUUAUAUUGCAGAACAUAGAGUCCUAUGAUUUAUAAAAGUAAUUAUUCUACCAUUUGAUCAUGAUGUUUAUGUUGCAGAACAUAAUGUGCAGGUUGUCAAAUAUUUACAAAUAUUAUUGGACAAAAAAAUUGAAAUUUAGAUGACUAAAUUACAUUUUAUCAAACUUUGUACUCCAAUACUCCAAUUUUUUUUUGUACUCCAUAGAACUUAACUCUUAUCAAAUAUAUGGAUCUUAUAUAAAAACAUACACAUUUUUCUGAAACUUAUGAGGGCAUGGGCACCCAGAGGCCCCCAUGUCCCUCCGCCUCUGCUAAUAUAAGAUGUUAGUCGAGUUCGAAGAAGUUUUGGAAUUCUUUUUAUUGAGAGUUUUUGCAAAACGUGGUUAGGAAAUUGAGAAUUUUGAGUUUUAAAAUUAGCUGUAAAAAAUAAUCGGUCAAUUGUAUUAGAUAUUACAUGCAUUUGAGUUUUAAAAUUAGGUGUAAAAAAUAAUGGGUCAACUGCAACAGAAAUGAAUUGGUUUGGUUUCACCCGGAAGAGUUCUGCACUUCACACUCUAGAUUCCAGAAAUAAAAAAAUUCAAAUAUAAAAUGUCAAAUAUUUUAGUUUAUACUCCCUCCGUCCAUUUUAGAUUUUUAGUUGUCACUGCCGGUCAAAUUGACCAAAAUUUGACUAAAAUUUAUUAAUAUUUUAUUAAUUGAAAAAAUAAAAAAAUUAUGUUACCACAAAUUACUUUCAAUCUACAUGAAAUUUUCAAUUUUUUAAAAUAAUGAAGAAGUAACUUGUAAUCUUUGAUCAAAAAUUAGUUAAUUUGACAUAAAAAAAAAAUUGUUACAACUAAAAUGGACCAAGGAAGUACAUAAGAUUUGCUAGUUACCUGCUUACCUUCACUCCUUAUGUCUUAAGCCACUCUUUAUUAUUUUUGAUUACAUAAUAAAUAUGUUUAAACUUUUAACUUUUUAUAUUUAAUAAAUUUAUAUAAUUUAAUUAUUAAAUUUUUUGAUUUGUAUUAAGUUUAAUUUAUAGAUACAUUUAUAUCAAAAUUACUAAAAUCAAUCAAAAUUUUAAUAUUUUGAUUCAGUAACCAGAAUAUAAAUAUAUUUAACUUUUGAAAUGAUAUAUAAAUAGUUUAUGAUUAAAAAAAAUUAAUAAGUAACUUGCACAAUUUCUCUUAAUUACAGUAAUAAAUCUCUUAUUAGUACUUUCAACUAAAUAUUUCUCCCAAACACUUAUAAUUUAUGUCCAAUUUUCAUAUUAUUUCUUUUAGAAAGAUUGUUGUAUUAUUUUAAAUUUUAGUAAUUAAAUCAGUUUUAUUUUUAUGAAUUCCAAAUUUAAAAACCUUAAUAUUUUUGUCACGCUACUUCUUAUUUGUAAUACAAAUUAUUUCUAGAUAAAAUUAAUAUAUUAAUAAAUAUAGUGUAAUUAACUACAUAUAAUACAUUGAAAUUAAAUAAAUAUGCUCUGUACAUUUUUUUCACAUGCAAAAAACUGCACUGUUUCGGUUUAAGCAAAGCUUGAUAAUCAGGACUCCUAGCUGGAAUGGCGAGUAUUAUUCCUACGAAGAAGAUGAUGUUCAUGAUAUCCCUUCACCCCCAAAGACAAUGAAUUGGAGCAUGAAUUCUGAUUACUGUGCAUGUGGGAUGGAGUUAGCUGCGACGAGAAUACAGGGGACCUAACCGGACUGGAUUUAAGCUGCAGUCAUCUGGUGCAUUGGAAUGAAAUUAUAGAACUUCUUCAGAGCCUGAUGCUCUCGAGGAUGCAGUAAUGAACAAGCCUAAUGAUGAUCAUGAGUCAUAACUCCGUCCUCGAGAGCCUGAUGCUCUCGAGGAUGCACUAAUGAACAAGCCUAAUGAUGAUCAUGAGUCAUAACUCCGUCCUUGAAUAAAGUGUCAUGAAACAUAUUUUGUAUUACAUUUUGUAUUAUUGGAAACUUGAUUUGAAACCAAAAUAGUUUGGUGGAAUCAUUGCCAGGGUAUUGGGUCUGAAGAUCGAGGAUGGAGAAUAAAUUGAUUUUGUUCAAAUAUUUAACACAAGCCCAUCAUCAUUAUCCAACACAAGCCCGGUCCAGUAUAGAGUUCUGGCAACUCCAUUGUUGAACACUUCUGUUGAAGUUGGCCUGUCUGGCAGACAAGAGGCCCUGUUUUAGAGGUGAUAUAUGCGCACAGGUAAAAAAUGUAUAUUUCUUCCAAUAGAUUACAUCUCUUUUCUUCAAAAUUUAUUGUAGUUUCAAAAAGUAGCAUUUGAGAACUCAUUCUAUUCCCCUUUUAAAUACUUGGUCUUGGUCAAUACAAACACGAUUAAGACCGGUGUCAAUAUCCCUCAUAAUUUUUCCACUCCUUUGAAUGGCAUUCUACAAUCCACAUAUCAGACUCAUAAAUAAUUAGUUGAAAUCAUUACCAUAGUCCAUAGCGAAAAGACUUUCACCAUUGAACCAUUGCAUAGAUAAUUGAAGAAAGAAACUUCAACAUAUUUGCAUAUCUUUAUCUAUCUUUUUUUCUAGUCAUCAACAGGCACAAGCUGUUGAUUUUUAUAUGUUCUUAAUUGGUAUAAGCAUUUAAGGUGAGUGUUGAUAUUUCUCACUAAUCUUCUUCUGCUCUAAGUGACAUAUUAUUACAAUCCACAAAUUAGUAGACAGACUAAUAUGGUUAGUUGAGACCAUCAAUCUGGAGAACAGACUAAUACAUGUGUAGUAAUCUGAUCAUCAUUUAUUUGAUUACAAUAGAAAUUCGGCUUUGUUUAGUUCCAUCCUCGGGCUCUUCAUUUCUAAACAUAUUUGCUGAUACUUUUUAUUGUACAAUUUAGAAUAUUCCAUAAAAUUUUAUAUUCGGUGCUAGAUGAAUUUAUGUCUUGUUUUCAUUCCAUUCAUGAACUAAUGAAAAUUUUAAAAUUGGGUCAUAUUAGGCAGUGAUGCCACCUUUCUGGACCUGCAUUUCAUGACCACAAACUCCUAUUGUGCCAAAAAAUUCCAGCUGUUUCGUGAGAUUUUUCUACGUGCUCUUUUGUUCGGACUUGUUUGCUGAAUCCCACAAUAGACAAUAUUGAUGUUAACAACUCUUGCGUCAGUUACUAGACUCGUUGUUAGUAGCCCAUUCUUUACGGCAGACGUGGAAUUUACUUGAAGAAAUGAAGGUGUAAGAACAGGGGCGGAUCCAGCCUUCGCAUCUCACCCGGGCUGAAAGCCUGAAACACUUAUAACCUUGAAGGUAUACAGUGGAGGUGAAGAGGGGAAAAAAAUAUAUAUGGUACUGACAGUGACAUGGAAAUAUGGAUAUUAUUCUUUUAACCUGCUGCAGGGACUAUCAGCUGGUAAAUUCAUGUCAAAUCAAUUUUUUUGACNGCCGAGACGAGUCGGCGAGACGGCCGAGACGAGUCGUCGACGUGCGAGACGAGUUGGCGCGAGACGGGCGAAGCGAGACAUCUCCGAGACGAGUCAUGCGUGCGUGCCGAUACGUACGAGCCGAGACGAGGCGUCCACGUUUUCUCAAACCCAGGCUCGUGAUCGCCUCGUCUAUUUNACUAUAACUAAUAAUUCAUGUCAAAAUCAAGAUUAUAAAAAUUAAUAAUAUGACUACAAAAAUAAAAUAUAAACGUAAGGUAAUAACAUAUGGUAAACCUGAAUAUAUUUUAGUAACAAUUGUUUUGACAUAGUUAGAUUAAGGGAUUAAAUUAUUAUAUAAAAUAAUAAAAGUAGCUAUAUAUUAAAAAAAUAAAGCUAUAUUUAUAUAAUUAGUUUAAACACGUCAAAAGGUCAAAAAGCAAGAUUAAACCGCUUAGCUUAUAUAAACACCAUGACCGACUGUUUGACCUAAACUAAACAAAUUUAUAUUUAAAAUACAAAAUUACAUGAAUAAAACCGAAAUAGGGUUACAAUUCAUAAAAGUUAACAGCAACUCUGGUUAAUUAAUAAAGUUCCAGACCCAAAACUGAGAAAAGUGUCGGGCUUUUUAAAAUUUUAGACCGGGCUAAAGAUCAGUAAACUUUCGUCGAGGCUGGUAAAAUUUUUUGUAUCAUAAAACUCACCCGGGCUUUAGCCCACCGGAGCCCAUACAUAGAGAAAGUUGAGAACAUUUUGUUGAUUAUUCCCUUCCCUAGAAACUGCACUCCGCCAUCAAAGUACCUUUCAAAGACUCCAGCAUCAUUUCUUGAUUAUCAAAGUCUUCGUCUUUGUCAUCUCCUGCUCUGAAAGUGUUUCUAUUGCAGACCACAUAUUAGUAGACAGACUACUAAAAUUCAUCUAAAAUGACCUCUCUGCGUGGGCUCUUUUGAACAAUCAGGGUUGGACAUGAUUCUACACGCAUCAGAGAAAAACUAUCAGCUGGCUAAANUCUUCAAAAUUUAUUGUAGUUUCAAAAAGUAGCAUUUGAGAACUCAUUCUAUUCCCCUUUUAAAUACUUGGUCUUGGUCAAUACAAACACGAUUAAGACCGGUGUCAAUAUCCCUCAUAAUUUUUCCACUCCUUUGAAUGGCAUUCUACAAUCCACAUAUCAGACUCAUAAAUAAUUAGUUGAAAUCAUUACCAUAGUCCAUAGCGAAAAGACUUUCACCAUUGAACCAUUGCAUAGAUAAUUGAAGAAAGAAACUUCAACAUAUUUGCAUAUCUUUAUCUAUCUUUUUUUCUAGUCAUCAACAGGCACAAGCUGUUGAUUUUUAUAUGUUCUUAAUUGGUAUAAGCAUUUAAGGUGAGUGUUGAUAUUUCUCACUAAUCUUCUUCUGCUCUAAGUGACAUAUUAUUACAAUCCACAAAUUAGUAGACAGACUAAUAUGGUUAGUUGAGACCAUCAAUCUGGAGAACAGACUAAUACAUGUGUAGUAAUCUGAUCAUCAUUUAUUUGAUUACAAUAGAAAUUCGGCUUUGUUUAGUUCCAUCCUCGGGCUCUUCAUUUCUAAACAUAUUUGCUGAUACUUUUUAUUGUACAAUUUAGAAUAUUCCAUAAAAUUUUAUAUUCGGUGCUAGAUGAAUUUAUGUCUUGUUUUCAUUCCAUUCAUGAACUAAUGAAAAUUUUAAAAUUGGGUCAUAUUAGGCAGUGAUGCCACCUUUCUGGACCUGCAUUUCAUGACCACAAACUCCUAUUGUGCCAAAAAAUUCCAGCUGUUUCGUGAGAUUUUUCUACGUGCUCUUUUGUUCGGACUUGUUUGCUGAAUCCCACAAUAGACAAUAUUGAUGUUAACAACUCUUGCGUCAGUUACUAGACUCGUUGUUAGUAGCCCAUUCUUUACGGCAGACGUGGAAUUUACUUGAAGAAAUGAAGGUGUAAGAACAGGGGCGGAUCCAGCCUUCGCAUCUCACCCGGGCUGAAAGCCUGAAACACUUAUAACCUUGAAGGUAUACAGUGGAGGUGAAGAGGGGAAAAAAAUAUAUAUGGUACUGACAGUGACAUGGAAAUAUGGAUAUUAUUCUUUUAACCUGCUGCAGGGACUAUCAGCUGGUAAAUUCAUGUCAAAUCAAUUUUUUUGACUUUAUAUAUAUAUAUACUCAUUUACAUAUAAAAAAAAUAUAAAAUUUAAGAAUCUCAAAUAUUGGAGGUAGCCUGAAUAACAUUUGUUUGUCACUAAUACAAUAAAAAUUAAUUUUGUAUGAUCAGCUACAUAGACUAAAUCAUUUUAUUUUAUUUAUUUUAAACUAUAACUAAUAAUUCAUGUCAAAAUCAAGAUUAUAAAAAUUAAUAAUAUGACUACAAAAAUAAAAUAUAAACGUAAGGUAAUAACAUAUGGUAAACCUGAAUAUAUUUUAGUAACAAUUGUUUUGACAUAGUUAGAUUAAGGGAUUAAAUUAUUAUAUAAAAUAAUAAAAGUAGCUAUAUAUUAAAAAAAUAAAGCUAUAUUUAUAUAAUUAGUUUAAACACGUCAAAAGGUCAAAAAGCAAGAUUAAACCGCUUAGCUUAUAUAAACACCAUGACCGACUGUUUGACCUAAACUAAACAAAUUUAUAUUUAAAAUACAAAAUUACAUGAAUAAAACCGAAAUAGGGUUACAAUUCAUAAAAGUUAACAGCAACUCUGGUUAAUUAAUAAAGUUCCAGACCCAAAACUGAGAAAAGUGUCGGGCUUUUUAAAAUUUUAGACCGGGCUAAAGAUCAGUAAACUUUCGUCGAGGCUGGUAAAAUUUUUUGUAUCAUAAAACUCACCCGGGCUUUAGCCCACCGGAGCCCAUACAUAGAGAAAGUUGAGAACAUUUUGUUGAUUAUUCCCUUCCCUAGAAACUGCACUCCGCCAUCAAAGUACCUUUCAAAGACUCCAGCAUCAUUUCUUGAUUAUCAAAGUCUUCGUCUUUGUCAUCUCCUGCUCUGAAAGUGUUUCUAUUGCAGACCACAUAUUAGUAGACAGACUACUAAAAUUCAUCUAAAAUGACCUCUCUGCGUGGGCUCUUUUGAACAAUCAGGGUUGGACAUGAUUCUACACGCAUCAGAGAAAAACUAUCAGCUGGCUAAAGACCUCUCUGCAUCAACUCUAUUAAGAAAAGAAACUAUGGCUCAUACAGUUUAAGUUGAUAUCAAAUCGUAAAUGAGAAUACUUGCAGUUUUAAAUUACUGCACGCUAUUUUUUUUAACGAAAAUAUGUGCAGUUUUAACAUAGUCUAAUUAUUUUCUUGAUGACGGCUAUGCAAAUUGUGAUAGUUGAAUUUUUUUUAUGGUCUUUGACAAGCAUCAAGGAAAUUGUGAUAGUUGAAUUACCCUGAUUGUCAAAAACUACCUCGUAAUCAGAACGGGUUUUUUUUUGAGUUUGUUAAGGAUUCUCUCCAGGCAAAAGUUUCUCUUAUGCAGUUGAAGGUGAAAAUUAAGUCGUUGAAGAGGAAAUAUAAGUCUCUCAAAGAUUAUGAUGUUGUGUUUGACAAACCCAUGGAAGAGGAAUUGUUUCGCCUUUCCGAUAAGGUUUGGAGCCAAGGGAUUGAUAAUCAGGGUAAUGCUGCUAGCAAGGACAAGGAUAUAAGUAUCGAGAUCAAAGAGGAUGGAGUGAUUGAGGACUGUAGGAAGGAUAAGGAUACGAGCAUUGGGAUAAAUGAGGAUGGAGUGAAUGAGGCCGGUAGGAAGGAAAAGGAUACGAGAAUCGGGAUAAAUGGGGAUGGAGUGAAUGAGGACGGUAGGAAGGACAACGAUAUGAGCAUCGGGAUAAAUGGGGAUAUGGUAGAAGCCUCCAGGCUAAUGUGUCGAAGGGGAGGACAUGGAUGCUAUGGAAAUUUAGUUAGGAGGAAAUAUAAAUCAUGCUAACAGGAGCAGAUGAUGAACUUGAUUGCAAUGAAGAACUGAAGUUCCACAACGAGAUGAAGUCGACGAAGGAAGGUAGGAAGGACAAGGAUACGAUCAUCAGUCUUGUAUUUAGCUUGAUCGAAAAUAACUGUUCUCUUCAAAUUCUUUCCCUNUCUCUACUCUGUAGCUUACACAUCAUUGAUUCAUAUUAUUUUCCCUUAGGAACUUGAGAGACAUUUGGCAUCUAAAGAAGCUUCUCUCCCGCAAGAACCAUCACCAGAUGAUGAUAAUGCCGUUAACCUGCUUGUGCGGAUGCCGGAUGGCGGCCGGCAAGGCCGCAGAUUCCUCAAGUCCCACAAGCUUCAGGUAUUUAUUCCGUGACAAUAUUUUUCCAGUUAUUGGUUAAAAGUUGUAUAAUUGGUUGUUACUUGAUUUGCAGCAUCUUUUUGACUUCAUCGAUGUUGGUCGGUUGGUCAGACCUGGUACUUACAGACUGGUAAUCCUUCAUGUGCUUUUUUACCUUUCACACUUAAUUCUUGUGGGGGCACACUUAUAUUUUUACAAAGUUUUAAAUGACGAAUAAAUUCCAAAUAAUUUUUAUGGGGGACAGUCCCCCUUGCUAGAUCCCCUCCUGGUGUCCAAACUUUUUUUACAUUUCAUAAUUGAUUGUCUGGACCGGCAAAGAGCAAUGAAUAUUCAUUUUAGUCACAUAGGAGUGUCGGGGUUUGUAUUGUUGUUAUGCUUGAUAGUAUAUAGAGAGCUUAUUGACUAGUUGACUCAACAUCGUUUCUUUUUCCUUUCCCCCAUCUUCUCUGGUGAUUAAUGUUUGCGUGAUCCCACUAGUCCUUCCGCAAAAAAAAAAAGAAGUUAUAUUGUAUUUUUAAAAUGAAUUGCAUUUCAAACUAUUUGUUUGAUAAGUAGGGUACUCGUGUAAUUUAAUUGUAAUAUCGAUACCUUUUUUUGUAACACCAAAGAAAAAUUAGAAUCUUUAUAGUGUCAGGACUCUUGAUACUUGGUAGAUGCUUGAGAAGAAGGCUGUAUUUGAAGAUAUGGAGAAUGUGGUAACCAUAUGACUAAGGUCAACUAACUUUUGCUUGCUAAAGUGGAACUCUGUCAAAAAUUUAUCUGUAUCUAUCUCUUUUUUGUAGUCAUCAGUAGAUUUACUCUUCCAUAUGUAUCAGGGUCAAGUUGUUGAAAUAUAUCAGUCCUUAAUAGGUGUUAGCACAAUUUAGAUGAGCAAAAUAUUUAAGGAACGUAUGUACUUCAACUUGGCAUGCAAAACGAGUUAUACAAAUGGUAGAUUAGCUAGUUGGUAAUUUAAUGAGAAUCCUUUCCAUUGGACUUGAUUCAUUGAUAGAGAAGCAAAGCACAAUGUUACUUCCUGAUACAUAAUGUAUUUAUGCCUCGUAUAGAUAUAUUAUGAUUGUUAGAAUUAAACAUGUUUUAUUUUGCACAGGCAAGGCCGUAUCCAAGACGGGCUUUUGGUGUUGGUGAGAGCUCAACAACUUUUGAUGAACUUGGCCUGUCUGGCAGACAGGAGGCCUUGUUUCUGGAGUUAAUAUAGCAGAUAUAGUUAUCGUAAAAUUGUAAUAGGAUCUCGAAGAGUUUACCCAGAUGGACCAACUUUGUUUGUUAGUUGUAAAAGUUGUUUAGAGAUGGAUAUUUUGUCAAAGUUUGUAUCUAUUGGGUAUUUGGUCUUUUAGUCAGACUGUGGCUCAUACAGUUUGAAGUUGAUAUCAAAUCUUAGAUGAGAAUGUUUGCAGUUUGAAAUUACUGAACAUUGUUUCUUGAAUUCGAUAUCGAAUUUUAAACGAGAAUAUGUCCAGUUCCACUACAAGAGAAAGCGAUUCUACCAAUGGAAUUUGCUAAGGGAAAUUAGUCCGUUGGUAGUUCCCAACGGAUUUGUAAUGAUUUGACUAGUCAAUGUUCUGCCAACCAAGUCGCAACGAAAUACCCACGUUUAUUUACCAACGAAACGUUCCGUUAAGAAAUAUAACCACAUAAUGGAAUAGUAACAAAAGGCCAAGGAAUGAGCAACAGACUAGUAACGAAAAUAUCUGUUAUUACGUUCAUUGAUAUUCCGUUGAUAAAUACUAACAAUUCCGUUAGUAAUUGAUUAUUAGUUUUAUAACAUGGACAAUUGAUAUACACUACAUGAGCAGUCUCUUAUUUGACAUUUGUGUCAUGCUAAAGCCCAAUGGGCUUUAGUCGAUUAAAUUGAUUUGGGUUGUAGAAAACGGCCAAUAAUAUAAUGGACUUUGAUAUGUAUCGUAAAUAUUAAGUAAUUUUCUUGGAUUUAUGUAUAUAACAUAAUUGUUAAUUGGCUCAUCCUUAACUAGAAAUUUUAUAUUACAUUCUUAACUAGAAAUUUUAUAUUUAAAAAAAAUUAAUCUUUUAUGUGGUAUGUGGAUUUUGUAGUCAAAUGCGGUCAAUUUACUUAGCCUUUGAUCGGAUACCUACCCAAAACAUAAAAAUAUUUUUUAUUUUCGAUGAUCCAGCUAUACGGAUAUUAUUGUAAUGUGAUAAUAUUGAUUAAAUUUUUUUUUAAAAAAGUAGCAUUUUAUUUGGUAUGUGAAUUUUGUAGUCAAAUGCAAUUAAAUUACUUAGUCUCUAAUGGAAUACUUGCCCGAAACAUAAAACUAUUUUCUUAAAACACAAUUUGGACGAUCCAACCAUACAGAUGUUAUUAUAACGUGUUAAUAUUGGUUAAAAUAAUUUUUAAGAAUAUAUGUCUUUUAUUUGGUGUGUGGAUCUUGCAGUCAAAUGCGGUCAAAUUACUUAGCCUUCAAUCGAAUACUUACCCAAAACAUGAAACUGUUUUUUUAAAAAUCAUUUCGGACGAUCCAACCGUACGGAUAUUAUUGUAAUGUGAUAAUAUUGAUUAAAUUUGUUUUUGAAAAAUUUUAGCUUUUGAUUUGGUGCGUGGAUUUUGUAGUCAAAUGCGGUCAAACUACUUGGCCUUUAAUGAAAUACUUACACGAAACAUGAAAUUAUUUUUUUUUAAAACCAUUUUGGAUGAUCCAACCGUGCGGAUGUUAUUAUAACGUGUUAUAUUGAUUAAAAUAUUAUUUAAAAAAUAGCCUUUUAUUUGGUGUGUGGAUUUUGUAGUCAAAUGCUCAAAUUACUUAGCCUUUAAUCGAAUACUUACCUUAAACAUGAAACUAUUUUUAAAAAAAUUAUUUUGGAUGAUUCAAACUGUAGGGAUGUUAUUUUAACAUCUUAAUAUUGAUUAAAAUUAUUUUAAAACAAUUUAGUUUUUUUUUAUGUGUGAAUAUUUUAGUCAAGUACGAUAAAUUAUUUAUUUAGCCUUCAAUGAAAAAUUAAAAAUCCCGCACAGCCAAAAGUUUUCCCUCGUUUUGUGAAUCUUCCCCAGCCAUUUCCCCCCAACCCCAACCCCGAAAUUCACAAAACUCUCCCCCCAAAUUAGCUCGGCCUCUCCCAAAUCUCUAUCUCUCUUUGUAUAUCUUUAGGUGUGUUUUGUAGAGGCGGCCACCUCCAAAGCUUCAAAAUAAUCAAACUUAUCACCGCCGCUGUUCGAGAAUGAAUUUCUUUUAGGAGAUUCGUCGAUUUAGUUAUCAAAUUAGUUACCAUUAGGGUUCUACUCCGAUUUUCAAUAGUAUGAUGUUGGGGUUCGAUUGGUCGAUUGUCAUGUUUUAUAAGUUAUGUGGGUUCGAUUUUGAUGUUUUUACAAUUAGGUUUAUGUAUGUUUUUAUACGGGUUUCAUGUUCAUGUUUCGAUUUGUUGAUUUCCUAUUUUUCCUAUAUGUUAAUUUGUUAUUUGUGUGGAUUUUGGAUUUUGAUGUGUGUGUGUGUAAUGCCCUGUUUUUUUUUCAUUUUUUCAGGUUCGAACACUUCGAUUAGUAGCCGGAAAAACAACUGAUGCGGCAGUAGCGGCUAGCAAGGAGAUGAAUAACAAGAAAAGGCCGAUUUCGAGGUCAUCUCGUGCAAGUCUUCAGGUAUAGUUUUAUUCCUUUAUAUUUUUAAUCGACAUAAAUCUAACAAGUAAUUAUAGUUCUAACAAGUAAUUAUAGUUCUGAAUGGGGAGCUUAUUGUGAAAUUGAAUUGAGGGACAAGUUGUGUUAUUGGUUCCAGUAGAUAAAUUUAUGUUGACACUUGAUAUAUGCAUUUUUCCACUAUGAUGCUCCCUUUGGUUUGCUUAAGGUCAAGUACCGUUACUUAAUGCAUUUACAAGUAUUCCAGAACAAGUUUGUGCGCCAUAGUGCUACCUUAAUCUAUGAAUUUGAUGCCAGGCACUUUAGGUGUUAUCUCUUAUUGAUUUUUUAUUGGAGAGUUUGGGUGUUUUCUGGAAGAAGUAUAUAGUGAGAGCAGAGGUUUUCAUUUUCGUCAUGAUUUACUCUAAUGUUUCUAAUGUUCACCUGUUAACUGCUGUAGAUUUGGGCUUUAUCUAUUUCUACAUAAUUUAUUUUUGUCUUUGUUGCUGCUUCUUGAUAAUUUUCAAUAAUUGAAACUUUUGUUACAAAUAUAUGCUUGCUAGUCAAUUGUAUGUAGAAAUCUCUAACAAAACUUUAACUUUUACCUUUGAAAUUUAGUUACGAAUUUAAAGAAUUUGACUAGAACUUCAGUCGGUGGAUUCUUGACAUUUUUAUGUAAAUCAUAUAGUAUUCAGGAGUUACCCUGUAAAAUGCCCACAAAUCUUAAAUUAAUUAGAAGUCAAGUAAUAAGCUUAAGGCCUCUGAGACUGUGUCUGCAUUCUAGAUUUCAAUACAUUCUAUAUCAUAAUGUUGUUAAACUGCUUUUUAGCAAGUGCUUGAGUUUUUGGUAUCUACAUAUAAGAUUAUCUAAGAUAUCAAUUUAUUCAUGAGAGCAGGUUGAUGACAAGUACCGAUACAUGUGUGAAAAAAAAAAAGAUAACAUGGUCCAUGGAGUUGGUUCUUUGCAAUCUCUCUUUUAUAAGCCGGAGAUUCCUUGCAGUCCAUCCUUUGCUGAUGCAGAAAAUCAGAAGUUGCACGAAGAACUAAAUGUGAUGAAGGAUAAGAUGAAAGCAAUGGAGAAUCAAAUAGCUAUGGUUGUGUUAGUACUAGCUAGUUUUCAAGCCUCGUUAGUAAUUGAUGGCUCCUUUUAGAUAUAAUACUUGAACACUAUUGUAUCGGGUAACUCUUAUCUCAUUUUGAAGAUCGUAAAGAAACGUUUAUUAUGUAAAAAGAGUACACUUUUGUUAUUUCUUUAUUUGCAUUUUUAUAGACAUAAAAAUGAACAAUUCUAGAAAAUGAAAAAUUUGCACUGUAUUUGAGCAUGCAUACCAACAGAAUAUGUUUAUAUCUACUAACGGAAAUUUAACAACCGAAAGAGUCUUUUAGUUCUUUGUUGUUAAAUUUAACAAUUUUGACUAUACUUAACAUCAGAUUUUCCGUUGGGAAUAUGUUGCUAGAAUUGCCAACCGAAUAUUCUGUUGGCGGGAUGGUGUUUCUUUUGUUAUUUUGCAAAAUAGAGGUCUGUUACGAGAUUGUUACUACUCGGUUGCUAACUUAGCAACGGACACCUAAUUCGGUUGGCGAGGUGCUUCCCAACGACGUUUACUCUAACGGUCCAGUUCAGUGGGCAUUCCGUUAGGAAUCUCUUUUACCAACGGAUUUUCUUGAUUUGCCAACAUAAUAUUUCGUUGGGAAUAAUGAAAUUUCUUGUAGUGUUCUAACUUGAAAGUUAUGCAAAUUACGUUAAUAAUAUCAUCAAUUUUGAGUCUCUUGGUCUUCGGUCUUCUAUUGCAGCAUAUCAUACACUUCUCAAGUGAUUGAAAAUGAACUCUCUCCAAAAGGCAAGGGGUCUGUCGAAGUAGACCUGGAAUUGAUUUUACUUGAAGAAACAAUAAUAGUUCACCUUUUAAAGUUUUGGUCUUUGUCUUUUGUCUCUCAAAGUCUUGAUCUUUGUCGUUUACAUCUCAUACAAUUUGCUAUCGUAUUGAACACUUCACACAAUUUCAUACUAUCGUAUUGAACACUUCACACUUCACACAAUUCCAUAAUAUUGAAGAUUUUUGGCUUGAAAUAUUCUAGAGAAUAAGAUUGUACAUAAAAUCCAACAAUUUAUUUCCUUUUCUACAAUAUUACAACUCAUAUAUUUGUUGCCAAUGACUCAUUCAAUUCGCAUCAAUUACUAUCAUCUUCACUUUAUCAAAGAGUCUUGCUCUUUGUCCUCUACAUGCUUUUAUCACGGUCCCCAUGUUAGUGUGAUUUGAAAAUACUUGUGUUACAGUCCACAUAUUGAUAAAUAGACAAAUUAUAAUAUUUAGUUCAUUAAUGAAUAGAUAAGACGUUCAUGUGUAUGUAUUUGAAAAAUAAAAUAUUAUGAAGCUAAAUGAAUAAACACUUCUGAAGAGUAAAACGCGUUUCUGGUCCAUUUUGUAGCUUGAAGAAAUGAAGCAGAAGUCAAGAUUUUCUUGAAGAAACGAAAUUUUAUAAAAGUUAAAAACAAUUCGAUAAUUAUUGUCUUUUCAAAAAACGGGGCACGCAACACUCUUUUAUAUCAUCUUUCAAUUCUUAGAGUCUUCCUUCUGCUACUCCAAAAGUGGUUCUAUUAUAGGUCACAUAUUAAUAGAUCGAUACAAAUUUAUUAAAAAGAUCCUUAUUUUCAACGAUCAAUAUCAGUUUGACUAUAAAUUUAUCUGAAAUGACCCUUGUUAAUGGACUCUAGCUUAUAGGGUCAAACUUGGCUAUACAUGCCUCGGAGAAAAUUCAUCAGUUCGUAGAAGAGACCUUUCUGCAUCAACUCUAUGAAAAAUGCAGCACUUAUCAUCUAAAUAAAAAUUAGUAAGACUAUCUUAGAUUCUCUGAAGUGUUUAUAUUGCAGCCGCUUGUAUUGAAUACACACAUAAAUAACCACACAUAAUCAGGAAGGUUCGAAAUUUUUUGGUUUAACCAUAUCACCAACAUGAAGAAAAGACUUUCAAGCGUCAUAAUAGCUAAGAGCAUCUCCAACGGCAUUGGCUAUAAUCGUUGGCUAAAUUAGACAUGUAAGACAUUAUGUAAAAUUUGCUGAACCUGUAAGACAUUUUGCUUCAAUGGUAUUGGCUAUAUUAAUUAGUUGGCUAUAAUUUAAAAAUAGUAUGUUAUUAAUAUUUUAAAUUGUUAAAAUAGAAUAUAUCAGUUCAAUAUGGUAAUAAAUGAUUUACAAUCUUCCUACAGAUUUUCUUACAAACCUGUAGAGGUUCAACAAAUUUAGUCAUCCAUAGGAGGUUGGCUAAAUUUAUAGACAACAGCUGAGCAUGGUUGGAGGUGAGUUUUUGGAGCUGUUACCUAAAUUUUUUUAUUUUAAGUAUGUUAACUCACAUUUUAGCCAAGGGUUUUAGAUGGUUGGAGAUGCUUUGAGAGUUUUUUAUAUUCAGGAUAGCCCCGGUCUAGAUUAUUAUAAAAAACUUGUUUAUAUGGAGACAUAAUAAAGGUCCCAGAAUUUUUUACUCUUCAAGAUUUCCGUUUCUAGCCAAAUUUUUUGACCAUAAAUAAUAUAUUGGUUUUACCUGAAAACAAAAUUUAAAGAAAAUUCAAACUUUUUUAUUAGAGUACUUCUUUUCUUUUAUUAUUACUUCUUUUCUUUUAUUUUGAAAUUGCAAAACAGCUCAAAGUAGUUCUAAAAGAAUCAUUCUCCCCGCUAGGAUCAGUUACAAUUAAGAUUGACAAGAUGUUUUAGCUGCGAGUUCUUCAAAUUAUUGCUCGUAAGGUCCAUGACAGCUUAGAUAGUCACCAAAGCUUUGGCCUGUGGAUUAAGUUGAUGAAAUCUAGUGCAUUAAAAUCAAUGACAGCACUAUUUUAUGGGAUUGAUGCUCGCUCUUAAUAUUAUGCGUUUUUCUAAUGUGUGUGCCCAAAGACACACAAUAAACACUAAAUUUGAUAAAAAAAAUCGUAAUAUUAGUCAUUCCGCUCAUAAAUUUCAACCAGAGAAGAAAGAGCAUCGUGACUGUCAUUGUAUCCUUAAAAUUUGUUCGAUUAGGUUUUUUACAUAGUUUGCGCGUGGUCAUCAGGGUAGGCCUUCAUUAUAUUAAGCCAAUCUAGCUAGUAAUUCCAUAUUAAACAAGUUUAAAAUUUUCAAAUUUUGAUCUUAAUAAAUUUGUAAAAAUAGUAAACUUUUUCUUAUUUAUGAUAUUCACAAAUCUCUUACUUUUUUAUUACUGUAUUCAACUAAAUAUUUUUUAUAAACACUCAUAAAUGCAUCACAUCAGUUAUGAAAUUUAAAACAAAUAGUUUAUAGCCCGUGUAAGGCACGGGAGUUUUUUAAUUAUUUAUAAAUUUCUUAAAUAUAUUUUAAAUGGUGUGAAAAAAUUUAAUUUAUAAAUAAUAAAUUAAAAUUUUCAAUAAAAUAAAAUUCGAAAUUAUAAUUUGUUUGUAAGUUAGAACUGUGGUAAAUACAUCAUCAAGCCCAUUAAUGGUUUCAAAUAAACUAUUGUAAUGAAGCCAUUCUUUUUCUCGUAUGUACCGUGGCAAAGAAUUAAAUUCUGUUUAUCAAAUUUUAAUAUAUUUUGAGUGGAAUACGUUAUUGCCAACUCUUAUUAGAUUAUAUUUAUAAAUGUAUUUUAUAUUAGAAUUAUUAUAGUGUGAUUUAAAUAGUCCGCAAGGGUUAGUUUAGCUGGUUAAAAAGAGGACAUGUAUCCUCUUGGUCACAGGUUCGACUCUCAAAGGGUGGAUUAACGCUAUUGCGUGAUCCACUCCCAAAGGGUGGAUUAACCCUCCAAAGGGUAGCUGUUGCGGGUUCCUAGAUUACAAAAAAAUAAAAAAAUAUAUAAUGUGAUUUAAAUAUUUUUCAAAAAAUUUAUAUGGUUCCAAAUUAAAAUUGAUAAACAUAAUUUGUUGUGAUUUAAAUAUUUUUCAAAAAAUUUAUAUGGUUUCAAAUUAAAAUUGAUAAACAUAAUUUGUUUUUGAAUUAAGAAAAGGAAUCAUAAACAUGCAAUAAGAAGGUAGAAUCUAUUUUGGAUUAAGAAAAAGUUUUUGUAUUUGCUAAUCACAUAAAUCCGGCUUAUUAAUUUUAAAAUAUAUUAUAAAAAAAUUGUGACGGUGAGAUUUAUAUGAUUAAAAAAUUUUUGUAUUUGCUAAUCACAUAAAUCCGGCUUAUUAAUUUUAAAAUAUAUUAUAAAAAAAUUGUGACGGUGAGAUUUAUAUGAUUCUACGAAUAAAACUGGUAGAAAAUAUUUAUUUGGGAUUAAAAAAAUCAUAUACACGUGAAAGACAUAAUUUGUUUUGGAUUCAGAAAAAAAAUUAUAAAUAUGCAAGGUGAUAUCAGUUGCCUUGUAGAACAGAAGUUGAUUUUCGAAUCUAACGGUGCUUAUUUGUUCAAUAUAAGAUGCAACGGAUGAUAAACUUUUGGACCAGAGAACCAUGCGACCAAAUUAUCUCCCUUACGCUUAUUAUAUAUAAGUAUAUAAUAUGUCCAAUUUCUUUGAGAAAGAUGGUUGUAUAAUUUUUAGUUUAAAAUUUUAAUUAUUUUUAUUUUUAAUAUAAUUUACAACUAAAAAGUUUUAUUAUAUUUUGACUGCUUUGUAAUACAAUUAAAUAUAUCUUAAAUACACUUUUUCCUAUAUAUAUACGCUAACCUCGAGAGAUGUUGAAGAUCGUCCGAAACAAAAUUUGAAAGGGAAAAUGAAAAUGAGGAAUUGCAACCUCUGUUUUUUCACCAUCAGUAUGAUGCUCAUCUUCUUGAAGUUGCAGCACCACCUGGUGGCUUCUUCAUUAAGCCCCCACUUGCAGAAACUUGCCUUGUUUCACCUUAAGCAAAGCUUCACAAUCACUCCUCCUCGCUUCCCUUGCUCCUAUUAUUCCUACGAAGAUAAUGAGGGGUAUGAAAUUCCUUCUCGGCCAAAGACAAUGAGUUGGAGCAUGAGUACUGAUCACUGCACAUGGGAUGGAGUUAGCUGCGACAACAAGACAGGGGAUGUUAUCGGACUGGAUUUAAGUUGCAGUCAGCUGGAAGGAGCCAUUCUUCCUAACAGCACUCUCUUCCAACUCUCUCAUCUCCGCUUCCUCAAUCUUUCUCAUAACAACUUUUCCCUCUCCAGUCAGUUCCCUCCGGAAUUUGGUUUCUUUGCAAAAGGUCUGACGCAUCUCAACCUCUCUAAUAGUUAUUUAUCAGGGAGAGUUCCCUCUGGAAUCUCUCAUUUGUAUAAACUAGUCUCACUUGAUCUCAGUGACAAUGAUGGGACUAAACUUGAAGAAGAAGUAUUUAAAUCAAUGUUGCAGAAUUUAACGCAUCUCGGAGUGCUUAAUCUUAAUAACGUUAAUAUCUCCUCUAUUUUUCCCGUGAAUAUCUCUACUUCUUUAAGAGUUCUUCAAUUGUUGUAUACUGGUAUACACGGAGUAGUACCCCAAGAGGUUUUCCACCUUCCCAACUUGGAAUUACUUGAUUUAUUAUAUAAUUACGACCUGAGAGCUACAUUACCCAAAGUUAAGUGGGGAAGUAAAGCUACCCUCCAACACCUUCAUCUUUCAGAAAUCAACAUAGAUGGAGGUAUACCUGACUCAAUAGACUUUUUAAAGGACUCAUUAGUCAGUUUGUAUCUGGGCGGCUGUAAUUUGUCUGGGCCUAUACCAAGAUCCAUUGGGCACCUCGUUCAACUUACUCAGUUGGGCCUCCAUGAUAAUAAUCUCAAUGGCCCAAUUUUAACUUUUUUUACCAACCUUACAGACUUAAGAUAUAUCUACCUUGAAGGUAACAAUUUUACGGGUCCGUUUCCCUCUUUUCUUGCCCACUCCAGUAAACUAGUUGUGUUGCAUAUUGAGAGUAAUAGCUUUACUGGAUCCCUACCUCGUUCGUUGUUUCACCAUCCAUCCUUAGAGUACUUGUUUCUGGAACUUAAUGCAUUCACGGGUCCACUACAUGAAUUUGAUUCUUCUCGGUCCCGGCUGCAAUAUUUUUCUUGUUCCAGCAAUUUACUCAAUGGAUCCAUUCCACAUUCAUUUUCUCAACUUGUCAAUCGCACUGACCUAGAUUUUUCUUCAAACAAUUUCACCGGGGUUUUGGAUUUGGAAAUGUUUUCAGGUCUCGAAUUUCUAGAACGUCUUGAUCUUUCUGAUAACAGUCUUUCAGUGACAAGUACAAUCAGUGGCACCCUCCCUCCUACGCUUAUAUACUUGGGCUUGUCUUCUUGCAACAUGAAAGAGUUUCCUCGCUUUUGAACAGAUGCAAACAUCUUCCUGGAUUCUAUAGACCUGUCAAACAAUAAAAUUGACGGGGAAAUUCCACACUGGAUUGGGUCGCUGGGGGUGUCCUAUCUGAAUCUUUCUCACAACAAACUAAUAGGCGGUCUUGAGCAACUGCCUUGGGGUUAUAUUAAUUAUCUUGAUCUCCAAGACAAUAAGCUGAAUGGAUCGUUGCCCACCUUGAUGUGUAAUUCCAGCUCUCUUGAGAUUCUAAAUCUCUCUCACAACAAUUUGAGUGGUGUACUCCCCAUUUGUCAUACAAAUUUGACUCAGCUUUCGGUGUUGGAUCUGCGGAGGAAUAAAAUUCAAGGAAACAUUCCAGCAACCUUGUCAAAUUUCCAUAAUCUGGAAACCAUUAAUAUGAAUGGAAACCAAUUACAAGGAAGCAUUCCUUCUUCAUUUGCUGAAUUUGAUUCUUUAGCCGUUCUUGAUCUUGGAAAUAAUCAGAUAAAUGAUACAUUCCCCCGGUGUUUGGAAGCUCUUCCAAAUCUCCAAGUUCUUGUUCUCAAAUCUAACAAGUUUUGUGGUCUUAUAAACACGAGUUCUAAGAUUGUACACCCAUUUCCUAGCUUGAGAAUCAUUGAUCUGUCGGACAAUGAGUUUUCAGGUCCACUGCCAGCAAAAUACUUCAGAAACUUCAAGGCUAUAAUGAAUAGUGAUGUAAGCAAAAUAGAUCGUAGUUAUAUGAAUCAUAGUUUCUAUUACAGUGAUUCCACGGCUCUGGUGAUUAAAGGAGUAGUCAUAGAGUUGGUAAAGAUAUUAACUAUUUUUACAACCAUGGAUGUGUCAAGGAACCAGUUUGAAGGGGAGAUUGUAGAAUCAAUUGGAAAUCUGGUGUCACUUAGAUAUCUCAAUUUAUCACAUAAUCAUCUCAGAGGCCACAUACCACGGUCGAUUGGAAAAUUGACUGUGCUGGAGUCACUAGACCUCUCAUCCAAUGAACUUGAAGGAGAAAUUCCUCCGCAACUCACUGGUUUAUAUUCACUUGCAGUUCUAAAUCUUUCUUGCAACCAACUUAGAGGCCGUAUACCAGAAGGGUCACAAUUCAAUACGUUUGAAAUCUACAGCUACGCCGGGAACUUUGAAUUGUGUGGAAAACCCUUGUCAAAAAAGUGUGAAAAUUAUGUGAGGGUACACAAAGAAGACGAAGAAGAUGAGGAUGAAUAUUACUUUUUCAGUGGUUUUACAUGGGAAGCGGUGGUGAUUGGAUAUGGGUUUGGAGUGGUGCCUGCAUUUAUCGCCGGGUACUUGAUGUUGCUGGCACGGAAACCAAAAUGGUUUGCUGGAAUCAUUGGCAGGGAAUUGGGCCUCAAGAUCAGGAGGAUGGAGAUUAGAAUGCGAUAACUACAGGUUUGGUGUAAUCUGUAUCCCAUUCCCAGGUCUUGAAAAUUCUGUAAUAAUAUAGUAAUAUCUGCUCUCAUAUAAUUCUAUAUUUGCAGAUUCAGAUGGGACAAGCAGGAUUCAGAUGCAUUGCAUUGGAUUCAGAUGGGACAAGCAGGAUACAAGUUAUGUAGUAUUGUUUUGUUCCAGCUCUUAUCUGAUCUGCAAUCAAGUUAAUGAACCACUACCUCAGUUGUUAAGCAUCUUUCAGCAUUUUAAUUUUACAACUCACAAUAAAAGAUUACAUGUGUAUUAAUCUGAUCAUCAUUGGUUUAGAUCAAUAUAGAAGUUCGGCUUUGUUUAUUUCUAUCCCGGGCUCCUCAUUUUUAGAACAUAUUUGUUGAUACUUUUUAUGGAACGGUUAAGAAUAUUCCAUAGAUUUUUAUAUUCAGUGCUAGAUGAUUUUAUGUCCUGUUUUCAUUCCAAUUUCCGUUCAUGAACUAAUUAAAAAUCUGAAAGUGGGUCAUAUCUGGCAGUGAUGCCCACCUUUCUGGACCUGAAUUUCAUGACCACACAAACUCCAAUUCUGCCCAAAAAUUGCAGCUGUUUCGUAAAAUAUUUUUACGUGCUCUUUUGUUUGGACUUGUUUGCUGGACCAUGCAUAUGUUUUGAUACAAACAUCUUCGUGUAUGUUAACACUCUUGUGUCAGUUUCUGGACUCAUUGUUAGUAGCCCAUUCUUUACGGCAGACAUUGAAUUGGAUUUACUUGAAGAAAUGAAGGUUUAAGAAAGUUGAGAACAAUUUGUUGAUAAUUUCCUUCCCUAGAAACUGCACUCCAGCAUCAAAGUACCUUUCAAAGACUCCAGACAUCAUCUCUUGAUUAUCGAAGACUUGGUCUUGCAUAUACUGAUAUACAGUGAAUAUAGAUUUCUUUCAUUUCCUUGAAAUUGCAUUUUUGGAAGUAGCUCUCCAGACUCAUUCCCGUCACUUCUUAAAGUCUUAUUCCUCCUCAAUACUACAUACACGUAAUAUCACACCACUUUGCUCAUGCUCAGAUGGGUUUUUCUUACAAACCACAUAUGUUCACUUCUCAGAGUCUUAGUCCUCGUCAAUGUAUAGAGAUAAUAUCUCACCAUUUGCUAGUGCUACAAAUGGGCUUCUCCUACAACCACACAUAAUCGGAGAAAAGUCUGUCAAGUGUCAAGUGGACUUGAAAGACCCUUGUGCAUGGAUUAUUGUAUGUCAUGAAUGCCUUCUGAUAUCCCUGAAAGUGCAAGCAAGUUAUAAAAGUAGCUGGGCAGACUCUUUCUCAUCAAUACAUUCACAUUUAAAGCGGGCGUUGAUAUGCCUCCCUAAUUUUCUAAUGCCCUAGACGGAAUUCUAUUACAAUCCACAUAUGAUGGGUAGCGAUCAUCAAUUCAAAGAAGAGACUAUCAGCAGCUUGCAGGAAAUGUCCCCUCUGCAUGGAUUAUCGAAGAAAGGAACUUAUACCUAUAAAGAUGUAGAAAACCAAUGGUAAGCAUAACUGCAUAUAAGAUACAAAACUAAAUUUAAUACAAGACUCGUUCUGAGCAUUGGAAAAUAUAAUUCAUCCUGGUCUUCGUCUUCUACUUCUCCAAAUAUGCUUUUAUUGCAGCCAAUGUAUUAGUGAAAAGAAUUAAAUUUAAAUUAAUUGUAGACCGCAAAUAUAAGAUUAGGAGAGUUUCUACAACCCACAAAUUAGUAGACAGACUAAUAUGGUUAGUUGAGACCAUCAAUCUGGAGAAACUGUUUCUACAAUGACCCAUAUGUAUGAAUUAUUGAAGAAAGAAACUUAUACCUACAAUGUAAAGGAAAUGGUCACGAGUAUAUUGCAUUUUUAAUCCAAAUUGUAUAUGAUUCUCUCUGUGCUACUGAUAGUUAAUAAUAAAUCUACAACGGAACUUGCAGUUAAUCAAGGUAUUUAAGUCUACCUUUCUACAUUGUUGAAUAGUUUGAAUUAAAUAAUUGUAAUAAAUUUUUUGCUGGAUGCUGUGUGAGUUUACCAGAGCUUAUCACGGUGAGAAGUUCACUAAAGCUCUUGGAAUUAGUAAAUAAAAACUCAGGGCAGUGAAUUAGAAGUCUGAGUACAAGGCAAUGAGCAGGAAACAACAUAGGGAGUUUACAACUAGAAGUAUCUAUUCUCCCCCAGUCUUUUUGUGAACAUCAAGAGGCCAUUCAUAUUGCUCACAAACCAGUUAAAAGUGGCAGGACUACACAUAAUGAAUCACACAGUCACUUUAUGUGAGAAAAGAAAAUUGUCAGGACUGCAAUGCAUUUCUAGCCCAUUUUGUACAGCAGCUCAAACGUUUAAAAAACUUCAUUAAUUAUUUUCUUUUAUUGAAACCACACUCAUCCAUCAAAGUAGCUCUCAAAGUCUAAUUUCCAUCACCUUCUGAUUCUCAAAGUCUUCUUCUUCGUCUUAUAUUGCACGCCACAUAUUAGUAGACAUACUACAUCAACUCUGUAGAAAGAAACAAUCUAUAGUAGUUGAUGUACAAUGUUAUUAUGUAAAUGUAUAAUAUCAAAAUUAGGAAUAGAAAUCACGCCCUAAUAAUUAACCCUCUGCAGGGGUUAUUAAAGAAAGCAGCUUAUAACUUUAGUUGCUGAACAUUUGUGUGGGCCAAAUUCAAUUUUACACAUCAUUACUAGAUUUACACAUGGUAUUAGACAUCAGUACUAGUAUAAGAUGUUAAUCAAGUUUUGGAAUUUCUUUUAUUUCAGAAAACAAGUUUUUAACUCUCUUUUUUUUUUGUGGUAUUAAUUAUUUAUAUCACGCAUUUGAGCUUUAAAAUUAGCUCUAAAUAAAAGUUGAUUUUCGCUCAAAGAAACAAUGAUGUAUAAGAAGAUUUUCAGAACUGAAUUAUUUCUUUCCAUUUUUACAGUUCCAUUCAAGAACCGAAAGCAGCUCACAAAGACUCACUACAUCAUCUUUCAAUUCUCAUAGUGUUGGUCUUUGUCUUCUGCUGCUCAAAAAUUCUAUUACAGCCCACAUAUCAGUAUCAUAUACCUAAUUAUAAAUAGUAUUUAACACUUAACACCAUUAAAGAUUUGUCUCAGAGACUUACUUCCAUCACCUUAUGGUUCUCAAACUCUUCGUCUUCUAAUGCUCCAAAAGUUCUAUUAGUGCAGGCCACAUAUUGGUAAACAGACUACAAUUCAUCCAAAAUGACCCUCUUAUUGGACACUUUGAACACCUCUGUCUGUAUAUGCAUUGGAGAAGAAUUAUCAGCUCGUUAAAAUAACCUCUUCGCAUCAACUCUAUGGAAAGAAGCAAUUCAUACCUAAAGUACAAUGUUUGGAUAAAAUUAGGGAUAGCAACCGCACGCUAAUUUUUUAGUUGAAGCAGGCUACCUUAGUGUAAUUAACUGAACAUCCCCGUAAUUUCUUGACAGGCCACAAUUAAGGAAGUUUACAGAAUUACAUUCCAGAAGUAGCUCCCUGAGACAGAUUCGCAUCAUCUUUCAAUCUUCAAAGUUCUUUAUACUUAUAUUAUAUUUCAUGUUUUAUUGUAAUGAACAUAGCAGUUUCCUGUUCAGUAAUAUUCCAGGCUCAGGUUCUUCAUUCCAAGUCUCUGUUACAUGUUUGCUACUAAAACGUAUUAAACAGUUAUUAGUUUAUGACUGUAUUCCAUCUUGAAAGGAGAUCUCAAAGACUCAUUCCCAUAAUCUUCAGAAUCUCAAGUCUUGAUGAACUUGGCCUUCAUCAUAUUUGUACUCUUGUAAUUCCAUAUUAAUCAAGUUUAAAUAUUAAAAUUUUUAAUUUUAGUAAAUUUGUAAAAAUAGUAAAAUUUGUCUUAUUUAUAAUAUUUAUAAAUCUCUUACUUUCCUGUUACUGUAUUCAACUUAAUAAUUUUUACAAACACUGUGCAUCACAUAAGUUAUGUAAAUUUAGAACAAAUUAUGUCCAAUUUAUUUAAGAGAGAUUGUUAUAUUGUUUUUACUUUAAAAUUAAUGGUAUCUUUUAUUUUUAAUAUAAUUUACAGCUAAAAAUAUUUGAUAUAUUUUCACACUGCUUCUUAUUUUUGUAAUAUGACUAAACAUAUCUUAAAUACACUUUUUUCCUAUAUAUAUGCUAGCCUCUCGAGAUGUUGAAUAGAUCAUCCCAAACAAAAAAAUUUAAGGGAAAUAGAAAAUGAGGAAUUCCAUCCUCUGUUUUUCCACCAUCAGUUUGUUGCUCAUCUUCCUGCAGUUGCAGCACAACCUAGUGGCUUCUUCAUUAAGUCCCCACUUGCAGAAACUUGCCUUGUUCCACUUUAACCAAACCUUAACAAUCAGUACUACUAGCUGGGAUUGCGAGUACUAUUCCUACGAUGGAUAUUACGAAAUUCCUUCACGGGCAAAGACAAAGAAUUGGAGCAUGAGUUCCGAUCACUGCACAUGGGAGGGAGUUAGCUGCGACGACAAGACAGGGGACGUUAUCGGACUGGAUUUAAGUUGCAGUCAGCUGGAAGGAGCCAUUCUUUCUAACAGCACCCUCUUCCAGCUCUCUCAACUCCGCUUCCUCAAUCUUUCUCACAACGGCUUUUACAAUCAGUUCCCUCAGGAAUUUGGUUUCUUUGCAAAAGGUUUGACGCAUCUCAAUCUCUCUCGUACUGGAUUAUCAGGGAGAGUUCCCUCUGGAAUCUCUCAUUUGUAUAAACUGGUCUCACUUGAUCUCGGUCGCAACUAUAGGGCUUGGGCUAAACUUGAAGAAGAAGUGUUUAAAUCACUGUUGCAGAAUUUAACUCAUCUUGAAGUGCUUAAUCUUGAAGGGGUUAGCAUCUCCUCUGUUUUGCCCCUGAAUAUCUCUACUUCUUUAAGAUUUCUUGCUCUUGCGGGAACUGAAAUACACGGAGUAGUACCUCAAGAGGUUUUCCACCUUCCCAACUUGGAAUUUCUUCGUUUAUCAUAUAAUGACCACCUGAGAGUAACAUUACCCAAAGUUAAGUGGGGAAGUAGUGCUACUCUCCAACACCUUCAACUUUCAGGCGUCAACAUAGAUGGAGGUAUGCCUGACUCAAUAGGCUUUUUGGAGUCAUUAGUCAGUUUACAUCUGAUCCAGUGUAAUUUGUCUGGGCCGAUACCAAAAUUCAUUGGGCAACUCGUUCAACUUACUCACUUGGGCCUGGCUGCUAAUAAUCUCAGUGGCCCAAUUCUAACUUUUUUAACACGCCUUGCAGACUUCAGAUCUAUCUUCCCUUGAGCAUAACAAUUUUACUGGUCCGUUUCCCUCUUUUCUUGCCCACUCCAGUAAACUAGUUGAGUUGUAUCUUCAUAAUAAUAGCUUUACUGGAUCCCUACCUCGUUCGUUGUUUCACCAUCCAUCCUUAGAGAUCUUGAAUCUGGCAUAUAAUGCAUUCACGGGUCCACUACAUGAAUUUCAUUCUUCUUUGUCACGAUUGCGAUCUUUUUAUUGUUCCAGCAAUUUACUCAAUGGAUCCAUUCCACAUUCAUUUUCUCAACUUGUGAAUCUCACUGAACUAGAUCUUUCAUCAAACAAUUUCACCGGGGUUUUGGAUUUGGAAAUGUUUUCAGGCCUCAAAUCUCUAGGAAUUCUUCAUCUUUCUUAUAAUAGUCUUUCAGUGAGAACUACAACUAUGGCCACUCUCCCUCCUACGCUUAACGACUUGGCCUUGUCAUCUUGCAACAUGAAAGAGUUUCCUCACUUUUCAAGAGAUGCAAACAUCUUCCUCGAUUUUGUAGACCUAUCAAACAACAAAAUUGAAGGGGAAAUUCCACACUGGAUUGGGUCGGUGGGGAGGUACCCUUUCUAUCCAAUCCAUUAUCUGAAUCUUUCUCACAACGGACUAAUAUGCGGUCUUGAGCAACUGCCUUGGAGUCAUGUUGAAUUUCUUGAUCUCCAAUACAAUAAGCUGAAUGGAUCAUUGCCCACCUUGAUGUGUAAUUCCAGCUCUCUCCGGGUUCUAAAUCUCUCUCACAACAAGUUGAGUGGUGUACUCCCCAUUUGCCAUACAAAUUUGACUUCGCUUCGCGUGUUGGAUCUGCGGAGGAAUAAAAUUCAAGGAAACAUUCCAGCAACCUUGUCAAAUUUCCGUAACCUGGAAACUGUUAAUUUGAAUGGAAACCGAUUAGAAGGAAGCAUUCCUUCUUCUUUUGCUGGAUUUGAUUCUUUAGCCGUUCUUGAUCUUGGAAAUAAUCAGAUAAAUGAUACAUUCCCCCAGUGUUUGGAAGCUCUUCCCAAUCUCCAAGUUCUUGUUCUCAAAUCAAACAAGUUUUAUGGUCUUAUAAACACGAGUUCGAAGAUUGUACACCCAUUUCCAAGCUUGAGAAUCAUUGAUCUGUCGAAAAAUGAGUUUUCAGGUCCACUGCCAGCAAAAUACUUCAGAAACUUCAAGGCUAUGAUGGAUAGUGAUGUAAGCAAAAUAGAUCGUAGUUAUAUGAAUUAUGGUUCCUAUUACAGUGAUUCCACGACUCUGGUGAUUAAAGGAGUAGACAUGGAGUUGGUAAAGAUAUUAACUAUUUUUACAACCAUGGAUGUAUCAAGGAACCAUUUUGAAGGGGAGAUUGUAGAAUCAAUCGGAAAUCUAGUGUCACUUAGAGAUCUCAAUUUAUCUUACAAUCAUCUCACAGGCCACAUACCACGCUCGAUUGGAAAAUUGACUGUGUUGGAGUCACUAGACCUCUCAUCCAAUGAACUUGAAGGAGAAAUUCCUUCGCAACUCACUGGUUUAUAUUCACUUGCAGUUCUAAAUCUGUCUUGCAACCAACUCAGCGGUCAUAUUCCACAAGGUUCUCAGUUUAAUACAUUUGAUGCUGAUAGCUAUGGUGGUAACUUCGGGCUGUGUGGAAAUCCAUUGUCCAAAACGUGUGAACAAGAUAUUGUGGAGCAAGAAGACGAAGAAGAUGAGGAUGAAUGUCACUUUUUCUGUGGUUUUACUUGGGAAGCGGUGGUGAUUGGAUAUGGGUGUGGAGUAGUGCCUGCAUUUAUCAGUGGGUACCUGAUGUUGCUGGCACGGAAACCAAAAUGGUUUGCUGGAAUCAUUGGCAGGGAAUUGGGGCUCAAGAUCAGGAGGAUGGAAAUUAGAAUGCGAUACUAAAGGUUUGCUGUAAUCUGUAUCACAUUCCCAGGUCUUGAAUAUUCUGUAAUAAUAUAGUAAUAUCUGCUAUCAUAUAAUUCUAUAUUUGCAGAUUGGAGAGGCAUGAACAUUUUGGCAUGUAAGUUGAUGGGACAAGCAGAUUCAGAUGCACUGGAAUCAACCACUACUUCAGCUGUUUUGCAUCCUUUGUCAUUUUAAAUUUUACAUUUUAUAAUAAAAGUCAAAAAGAUACAAGUUCCAUGGACAAGUUCUGUAUUGUGUAGUUCCAGGGCUCCUUUCAAUUUCUAACCACCCUGGACAACUUCUUUACAAAACUAACCACCCUUUUUUUCACUUCACAAAACUGACCACCCUAAAUCCUUGGCGAACAUUACAUGAAAUCCCUUAUAUGUUCGCCCCUGUCAAGGGCGAACAUUACUAAAAAAAUUUAUAUGUUCGCCCCUCCCAAGGGUGAAGAUAUAAGGGCUUUAAACUUCCCAUUUACCUCGUAUCAUUUGCACAUAUAAUGAGUUUAUUUCAUUUUUAAAAAAAUGUAGAUAUAAAAAAUACUGAAAAUUCGUUUAUUUGAUUUAAAAAAAAUGUACCUAUAAUUGGUUGUUUUGUAAAUAUUGAAAUAAUAUUAUUUUAUUGAUUAAAAAUGUCAUGAGUUGAAGUGAUAAUUGAGUAAAUUUAUUUUAGUUUAAUUGGCAUAAUGAGUUGAAGUGAUAAUUGAGCAAUUUUAUUCAUAGAGAAUAUUAAAACAACGAUAAUACGACUUAAACUGAAAAGGAGAAAACAAUCACGACGAAAAUACAGACCACUUAAUUUUCCAACCAAAUAUUAGAAAAUUUUAAAAUUUCAUUGACCGCAUAGACACAAUAUUUAUUUUUAAAAUUUUAUUUUUGCAAAUAAAAAUUUAAAUAUGAAAUUUUCGUUGACAAAAGAAAAAAUUAAAAAAUAAAUUUCGGAACUUGACGGUCAAUGCACCUUAAAUUACGUGCCGAAAGUCUAACUGGCUCAUCUAAUUUGAGAAGGAGGGAGUAGUAGGCUUGCAAAAUUUCGUAUUAGCAUUAAAUAUUAAAAAUUCAUCGUAUUAAACUACUCAUAAAUACGAAUCUAACAAGAUCACUCAAGACUAUAUUUAGUCUUAUUGACAUCAUAAACAUGAAAAAAAAAAAAAACGAGGCAAUAUAUUUUAGAUAAUAUAAAUAUAAANCGAGGCAAUAUAUUUUAGAUAAUAUAAAUAUAAACAGAUAUAAGGUUUUGAGAGCAAGACACAAAAAAUAUGUUUCCCUUGGUCUCAAGUCUCAACUGCAAGACACCAUAAAAUGAUAGAAAUAGAUGUGUGGGGUAGGUAAGCCUCAGUCAGCUAGCCAACAACUAUGUUCGCCCUUACGGGGGGCGAACAUAGUGGUGUUUUUGUGUGGUGUUCGCCCUUGCCAAAGGCUCAAAUCAAUUAUUUCAGCAGCCAUGUUCGCCCCUGAUGUAUAUGAAUUAAGGUGGUUAGCUUUGUGAAUUGAAAAUUUGGGUGGUUAGUUUUGUAAAGAUUGUGUUUAAAGUGGUUAGUAAAUUGACGGAGCCUAGUUCCAGCCUCAGGCUGUUCCUUACUAAAACAUGUUUUCUGAUGCUUUAUAAUGUACAAUUUACAAUAUAUCAAAGUUUGUAAUAUACAGUACCAGAUGAUUUUAUGGCCUGAUUAUCCUUAAUCGCUUUCAUGAACUAAUGGAAAUUUGUAAAAGCGGGUUACAUUUGCAGCGAUGCCGCUAUUUUUCCUGAAUUUCCCUAGUUGUGAAGAUUGUCUAAAUCAUGUUAGAGUCGCUGCCAUCAGUGAAUGCAUUCAACGGCUUACGGAAAUUAGUAGAGAUACUAAAGUUGUUUGUUGAUAGAAUAGAAGAUGACAGAGUGUCCAUGCGUCAUUUUAAGGAUCGAGAUGUGUAGCUGUGACUUGUAUUUAUAAAAUUUCACAAGAUGCUUUACAAUGGUAGCAGAGGAGGGCUGGGGAUCCACAAGAUGUGAAUUUGUGUUAUUAGAAACGAAUUUUGUUGUAGGGGGAUUUAUUGAAUUAGUUCGAAGCACUCAAGUAGAAUUGGUUGUAGCAGAGCAAGAAGCUGAGCACGACCAUAAGAAUUUGAACUCUUGAGGCAAAUUUUAUCUCUAAUUGUAAGCCUUCCACUAGACAGCAAGGUUAGAAGAAAGAUUGAGUCGAUGUGUGGAUAUAAAAUUAGGAAUACUAUUACCUCUGACGCCCAUGACAUAUCGAUGAGGCAUGAAAGUUGGGAACAGGGGACGAUUGGCGUAUUGGAAUGGAAGUAGAAAACUUCUUCAGAGCUUGAUGCUCUCGAAGAUACAAUCUGAUGAGAAAGCAUAACGAUGAUCAUGACUCUGCCCUUACUCUAAAUCAGUAAGAUCAACCUCUCUACACAAUUCACUAAUACCACCUCUUUAUAACAUUUUCACUCCUAGGUGAUGAAUAAAGUAUCAUGAAACAUAUUUUGUAUAAUGAAUUAUAUUUUUUAUUAUAUUCCUUUUUUAAAAUAUAUUGCAUAUUACACUGCUUUUUAAUUCUAUUUGAAGCAUUUAAUUAAUUUUUAGCUGUAAUUUAACUUUCAAGGUAGCAUUAUCAGCAUGAGGAAUAGGCAGAGCUUCCAGAUGCUCUCUUCUGAUAGAUAUCAUUCAGCACUUGCUCUGAGUUUGUUGAUCAACCAGGCGACUUUCAACAUUUCACAUUUUUAAGCAUUUAAUUAAUUAAUCAUCAGUCUUGUAUUUAGCUUGAUCGAAAAUAAUUGCUCUCUUCGAUUUAUUUGCCUACUUGUCGACGUGUUUAUGUAGCGUGUCUCUACUCUGUAGCUUACACAUCAUUGAUUCAUAUUAUUUUCUCCUUAGGAACUUGAGAGACAUUUGGCAUCAAAAGAAGCUUCUCUCCCGCAAGAACCAUUUUCCCCUUAUGACAUUUUGGUGUUGGUGAGAGUGCAGCGACUUUUGAUGAACUUGGCCUGUCUGGCAGACAGGAGGCCCUGUUUCUAGAGUUAAUAUAGCAGAUAUAGUUAUUGUAAAAUUGUAAUAGGAUCUCGAAGAGUUUACCCAGAUGGACCAACUUUGUUUGUUAGUUGGAUGUAAAAGUUGUUUAGAGAUGGGUAUUUUGUCGAAGUUUGUAUCUAUUGGGUAUUUCGUCUUUUAGUCAGACUAUGGCUCAUACAGUUUCAUACAGUUUGAAGUUGAUAUCAAAUCUUAGAUUAAAUUACUGAACAUUGUUUCUUGAAUUCGAUAUCGAAUUUUAACCGAAAAUAUGUUCAGUUCUAAUUUAAAAGUUAUGCAAAUUACAUUAAUAAUAUUAUGUAAUUCUUGAAUAUUCUGUAAUAACAUAGUACUAUUUGUCUCUCAUUUAAUUCUAUAUUUGCACCUGUGGACGUUAACAGAUUGGAGAGGCAUGAACAUCUUGGCAUGUAAGUUGAUGGGACAAGCAGGGUUCAGAUUCAUUGGAAUCAACCACUACUUCAUCUGUUUUGUCAUUUUAAAUUUUACAUUUUACAAUAAAAGUCAAAAGAUACAAGUUCUGUUUUGUUUAGUUCCUUCCUUAGGCUCUUCAUUACUAAAACUUGUUUGCUGAUUCUUUAUAAUGUACAAUUUACAAUACAUCAAACUUUUUAAUAUAGACUACUAGAUGAUUUUGUGGACUUUUUAUCCUUAAUUGCUUUCAUGAACUAACGAAAAUUUUAGAAGUGGGUCACAUCUGCAGUGAUGCCGCCAUUCUCACUAAAUUUCACUAGUGAGGAAGUUUGUCUAAAUCAUGUUAGAGUCGCUGCUAUCAGUGAACGCAUUCAACAGCUUAUCUCAAACUGGUAAGGGAUACUAAAUUUGUUGAUGACAGAGUGUUCUUGCGUCAGUUUAAGGAUCGAGAAUAUGUAGCAGUUGAAUGUAUGUAUGUUGGCGUUUUACAUUAUGUGAGAUUAUUGUUUAAUUACAGGAUCUUCAUCUCUAAAACAUGUUUUCUGCUAUAUCUUAUCUUAUAAUCUUACAAAAUAUCAACCUCGUCCAUCUUCUAUUUCGAUUGCUUUGCUUCAAAACGCCUGUUCAAAGGUAAAAUGAUAUAUAUUUCAUUUCAUCUAUAUUUUUCUUUUACAAUUUUUAGUGAUGUCAUGUUUAUCAUGUUACAUUCUGAUCCUAACAUCAUUUCAUUGAUCAAUUUCAAACUUCUGUUCUCUUCAUUCCAGGCUCGGGCUCUCUCUCUAGUCUCUAGUGCAACAGAGGACAGAGGAAGGCUGGUGCAUUGAAAUGAAAGUAGAAAACUUCUUCAAAGCCUGGCUGACCACGGAUGUAUGAUAAAAUCAAAUAUAUAUAUAUAUAUAUAUAUAUAUAAUAAUAAUAAUAAUAAUAUUUUAUUUUGAUUUUAGAUUUUUUUUCUGUUUUGUAUUUUGUUUUUAGAAAAUAAUAUUUUUAUUCAUGUUAUUUUCUAUUUGGUUCAAAAUCCUAUUAUUAGGAUAUAUUUCUAAAAAUUAAUAAGAUCAAAUACCGUAUUAUUUUCUGGAAAUUAAUUUGUUAUAUUUAAAUUUAAAAUCUUUUAUAAAUUCAAAUAAUCAUUUAUAAUAAUUUUUUAUCAAAAUCCAUUAUUAUUAGAAUAUCUAUUACAUUUUCUAAAAGAUCUCCUGAUAUUAUGUAAGUUGAAGGUUGAAUAUUAUUUAAUAAUAUUUUUAUUUUAUUUGUAUUUUUAGUUAAACUGCAAAUUUUGCAUGUAAAAUAUGUUAGAUACAUUUUUUUAAAUUACACAUUUUUUUAUUAAAUAUAAAUAUUAUACUAAUAUUAUUUAGUUUUAUAUUGAGAAUUUGAGAGUAGAAGAUUUGCAGAUUUAUAUUAUUUCAAUUUCAAAACUGCAAUCUUGUCUUGAAGAAAGAAUAAAUGCCGGGAAAUACUUGCAAUCUAGCUCAAAAUUGAAGUAGUUCAUAAUCUGAUACAUGUAGAGUCAUGUGUAAUGCAUUUAUGCCUUGGUACUUCUAGAGUUCUAGACCGACAGAGCAAAGAUUAUGUACAUGGAGCACUAAUAUAUAUGCUUUUAGCUUAACAGUAGUCUAUAUUCAUUUUAAUAUGCAAACCUACUUUACAUAUCAUGUUUAAAAAAUAUUUUGAUUUUUUUUAACAUUUAUAUUUAUUCAAAAAAAAAAUUUAAAAAUAAUGUGCAAAAGCAUGAGGUGAUCUCUUUCUCAUCACAUUUUACUCAAUUCUUUAUAUGUUUUCUGAAGUCUCUUGCCAACAUACAUGCAUGAACGUAGUUAUGUAGUAAUAUAAAAAUUCUUGGCCUAAAGAAACACUCACUUUCUGUCUUGUCCUCAUCACCUUUCUAGAAAACAUAGUAAAUAUAUGAGCUGUAACUUAGAAAUUUGAUUUGCAACAAUACACACACAUGAUAAAUACAUUACUAACAUGUUGGUCUUUGUUUCUAUUUCAGCCCUACAAUUUUGAAAAUGGAAAAUAUUUUACACCUAACUACGAACCUGGUUCGAAGAUCAUUCUCUAUGGGGUACUGAUAAUUAACAAACAGAGUUACACUAUUGUCAUAGUAUUAGACAUCACUACUAGUAUAAGAUGGUAGUAAGUUCAUUAUCAAGGUCCAGGCACAAACACUUCUCUAGUUCUGGAAUUUCACCGAACUGAACCAUUUAUUUCCAUUUCUGCAAAUUGCAUAACAUCAACUUUCAAUUUUCAACAUCUUGAUCUUGGUUCAAAGCAGAAAUGAUAAUGAUGAGGAUGUUCAUCACCUGUUUUUUGAAAAUUGUUGUGAUGCUCAUCUUCUUGCAACACCACCUAGUUACUUCAUUAAGUCCUAACAUGCAGAAAAUUGCAUUGUUCCGCUUUAAGCAAAGCUUGACAAUUAGUAUUCCUACAAAUUGCUUCUAUGCUGACAAUUUUUACAACUUUUAUAGUAUUUCUUCACACCCAAAGACAAUGAAUUGGAGCAUGAGUUCCGAUCACUGUGCAUGGGAGGGAGUUAGCUGUGACCACAAGACGGGGAAUGUAAUCGGACUGGAUCUAAGUUGCAGUCAGCUGGAAGGAGCUAUACUUCCUAACAGCACGCUCUCCCAACUCUCUCAUCUCCAGUUCAUCAACCUUNGUUCCUCAACCUUUCACAAAACAACUUUUCUCUCACCAAUAAAUUCCCUCGAGACUUUGGUUUCUUUGCAAAAGGUUUGACGCAUCUCAACCUCUCUUAUACUGGAUUAUCAGGGAGAGUUCCCUCAGGAAUCUCUCAUUUGUAUAAACUGGUCUCACUUGAUCUCACAGAUGAAAAUAGUGCUAAACUUGAAGAUGACGUGUUUAAAUCACUAUUGCAGAAUUUAACUCAUCUCAGAGUGCUUAAUCUUCAAGGGGUUAACAUUUCCUCUGUUUUGCCCGUUAAUAUCUCUUCUUCUUUAAGAGUUCUUAACCUUGGGCAGACUUAUGGUCUACACGGAGUAGUACCCCAGGAGGUUUUCCACCUUCCCAACUUGGAAGUACUUGAUUUAGCAUAUAAUGACGACCUGAGAGCUACAUUACCCAAAGUUAAGUGGGGAAGUAGUGCUACUCUCCAACACCUCCAUCUUUCAAGUAUCAACAUAAUUGGAGGUCUACCUGAUUCAAUAGCCUUUCUGGAGUCCUUAGGCAGUCUGCAACUCUACAUGUGUAAUUUGUCUGGCCUGAUACCAAGAUCCAUCACGCACCUUGGUCAACUUACUUACUUGGGCCUCUCUAUUAAUAAUCUUCAUGACCCAAUUCCAACAUCUUUAGCAAACCUUACAAACCUAAGACUUCUCGCCCUUUCUAAUAACAAGUUCAUCGGAUCACUUCCCCAGUGGUUUUUUCACCAUCCAUCGCUGGAAAAGUUAUAUCUGGGACUUAAUGGGUUCACAGGUCAACUAUAUGAAUUUGAUCCCUCCAAGUCGCAACUUCGUACUUUUAUUUGCGAAAACAAUCAACUCAGUGGACCCAUUCCACAAUCAUUUUCUCAACUUUUGAACCUCACUGAGCUAGACUUUUCAUCAAACAAUUUCAGUGGUGUUUUGGAUUUUAAUUAUAUGUUUUCACGCCUUCGGUACCUGGAUAGUCUUGAUCUCUCCCACAACAGUCUAUCAGUGAGAAAUGCAAGUUUGGACACACUCCCUCCAAAGCUUAGAAAAUUGGGAUUGUCAUCUUGCAAGAUUAAAGACUUUGCACACUUUUCAAAAGAUGCAAAGACCUCGCUAUUUUGGGUAGACCUAUCAAACAAUGAUAUUGAUGGGGAAAUUCCACUUUGGAUGGGGUCAGUGUACUACUAUCUGAAUGUUUCCCACAACAGACUAAUAGGCGGCAUUGAGCAACUACCUUGGAAUAAUAUCAUAUAUCUUGAUCUCCAUUCUAAUAUGCUAAAUGGAUCGUUGCCCGCCUUCAUCUGUGAUUCAAGCAAUCUUGAGAUUCUAAAUCUGUCCAAUAACAAUUUGAGCGGUGUACUUCCAGAUUGUUCAAAAAAAUUGACUUCCAUUAGGGUAUUUGAUCUGCGGAUGAAUAAAAUUCAGGGCAACAUUCCAGCAACCUUGUCAAAUUUCCGUAGUCUGGAAACCAUAAAUUUGAAUGGAAAUAAUUUACAAGGAAGAAUACCUUCUUCUUUUGCGGAGUUUGAAUACCUAAAGCUUCUUGAUCUUGGAAGUAAUCAAAUCAAUGAUACAUUUCCACAAUGUUUGGAAGGUCUUCCAAAGCUUCAGGUUCUUGUUCUGAGAUCAAAUAGAUUUCAUGGUAUAAUAAACACGAGUUCUAAGGUUGAACGCCCAUUUCUCAACUUGAGAAUCAUUGAUAUUUCGUCCAAUGAGUUUUCUGGUCCAUUGCCUGCCAUUUAUUUCAAAAGCUUCAAGGCUAUGAAGAAUGGUGAAGUGAAUAAAAUGGAGCGUAGUUAUAUGGGGGACAACACUUAUUACAGUGAUUCAACAUGUCUAGUAAUUAAGGGAGUAAAGAUUAAAUUGGUAAAAAUUCUAACUAUAUUCACAACCAUUGAUGUUUCGAGGAACAAUUUUGAAGGAGAGAUUGCUGAAUCCAUCGGAAAUCUAGUGGCACUCAGAUUUCUUAAUUUGUCGCACAAUCAUCUCACAGGAGUAAUACCAUCCUCAGUCGGAAAAUUGUCUAUGUUGGAGUCACUAGACCUCUCAUUUAACCGGCUCGAAGGAGAAAUUCCGCAGCAAAUCGCAGGCAUAUAUUCACUUGGAAUGUUAAAUCUGUCUUGCAACCAACUUAGAGGUCAUAUCCCUAAAGGGUCUCAAUUCAAUACAUUUGAAAAUAACAGCUACGUUGGUAACUUUGGGCUGUGUGGACAUCCCUUGUCCAAAGAGUGUAAAAAUGAUACUAUGACCCAAGAAGAAGAAGUUGAGGAGCAAGAAAAAGAUGAAGAUGGGGAUGAUGAUUACUUUUUUAGUGGUUUCACUUGGAAAGCUGUGGUGAUUGGAUAUGGCUGUGGAGUACUGCCGGCAUUUAUUAUUGGAUACUCGAUGUUGGUUGCACGAAAACCAAAAUGGUUUGCUGGAAUUAUUGCCCGGGAACUGGGUCUCAAGAUCAGGAGGAUGGAGAUCAAAAUGCGAUAAAUAAAGAUUUGCUGUAAUCUGUAUGUCAUGUUAAUUGUCUCUCCGUAAAGUCAAUAUUUGUGAAAUGUUAUUUCCCUUUUUUAUCUAUUAAAAUAUACUGUGAUAAAUUUGCAUAUUGGAACCUGACCGUCGUACUUUUUAAGAGAGAACCUGACCUUGGCUUUCACUGCACUCUGGCAAAUGCACAUUUUUUAAAAGUAGACAGGGAAUUAAGAAGAUGAAGUUUGUUAAAAUCAGGGUUUAGUAAGGUAUAAUGAUUUUUUGCUGUACUAGAACCUAGAGAAAAAGGAGUGGCUGAAAUCUGAUGGUUCUUCAAUAGUGAAUUUGAUUUAGUUUUUCCGCACCUGUUUCUUACAUAUUUUACAUAAAGAUUACCUUGUCAACAACUUCUUUCAUGAAAUUACAAUUUGAAAUUUCCUGCCAAUUAUUUGAGUCAUUGUGUUAUGUGUAGAUAUUAAAAAUGCAAGUAUGAAUCACAAUGAUUUUGAAUUUUGAAGUAAACCUACCCCUGAAUUUGCCUCUUCUAAGCUCGAUCUGUCUGAUCUUUGAAACAAUCAUUUUAGUGAUUCAAUUCUACCUUCAAUAGGAAAUACAUCAUCUCUUCAUACAAAAUAGGAAACAGCACACUCACUCUAUAUUGGAUAGAUGGACACAUUUACAAAGAGCUUCAGCUUGGUCAUCUUUAUCUGAGUACUCUUGAGUGCUCAUAACCCGAGAUAAGCUGAUCAGGUCAGCUCUGGUGAAUAACUAAAUCCAUGACCACUUAGUUCACAAUUGUUCUUUCCUUACUACAGGGAUCAAUUUCGUGAUGUCAUGUUUAUGAUGUUACAUUCUGAUCCUAACAUCACUUUAUUGAUCAAUUUCAAACUUCUGUUCUCUUCAUUCCAGGCUCGGGCUCUUCAUCUCUAGUCUCUACUGCAUAUUUAGCAACUCUUUGUAUUCUUGAAACAAAUUAUGGAUUCUCUACUUUACUCGUUCUCGUCUCAUGAACUAAUGUAAAUUCCAAAACGGUGUCACAUUUGGCUUUUAGAUAGAUAAUAGUUUAGGACCUGGUGAUCACAAAAGAAUGCUCGUUUUUCCACAGCAAAGAACAAAGUGCACCGAGACAGUCUUUGAUUAGUUAUAGUUUUAAAAGUUUAGCGAAUUCAGUUUGACGAUGUUGGUGGCAAUGCAGUAAGGAUCUUAAAACAAAAUUACUCCCAAGUCAUGUUUGUAACACUGGUGUUCGUGGGAGAUUCGCUGGAUUAUGGACUAUUUUAUGUUUUUCAGUUUUAGAUAAUUAAUGAUGUCGAAUUCGAUAAUUGAUAGAUAAAUUCCAUCUGCUUCUUUUCUAAUCUAAUAUAGAACUCCAGAUACAAGUAUUCAGAGAUGUAUUGGGAUCAAUAACAUGUAUAAGAUGUAUUAUGAUGUCUUCUCCAGAGGAAGAAGUUCGGAAGCAGUUCUGUUCAAAUGUUCCCGGGCUCAGUUUUCAAAGUCUGUCUUCUUCUUCUACAGCUUGGAGAUGAGAGAAAAGACUAUAAUUAGAUAGCUACUAUCUAAGAUGACCCCUCUGCAUAGACUUUUGUGAAACAAACAACUCAUACCUAAUUUAUGAGAGAAUAAGUUACUUCUUUCAUUUUCUUAAAUUUGCAUUCCAGCUCCAAAAGUAGCUCUUAGAGUCUUGGUCUUCAACUGCUCCAGUUUAUGAAAGUUGAAAAGCUAGUAUCCUACAUUUUCUUCAACAAUUUUUUCAAAACGAGAACAGCGUUUCCCUUAAUUAAUUAAAGAGAGGCAGAAAAUGAUAACUUAUGAGCCGGAUUGUUCAAGUUUGAUAAGACAUUAUGAAGGUCAAGGAGUAAACAAAACACAAUUCCAGCCUAUUUUGUACGGUAGUUUUGGAAUUGGUUUUGCCCAGAGAAAACAAGGUCUAAGAAGCAUCACGGAAACAGGAAACUUCAAUUUUUGCUCUUCUUCCCUCAACUCUAGGGAAAAUACUUAAUUAGUUCUUUAAAGGGUUAAAUUUCAAAUUGGUAACUAAAGUGAAGCCCAUAUCUCACUUUAGUGACUCGACUUAUCGGGGACUCACAUGCAUCAUUAUAGUAAUGAAUUAUUAUAAAUAUGUUAAUUUUUUUAAUUGUAUAGACGGAAACCAAAACGUGGCAUACAUGACUUUGACAUAUAAGAUUAGAUUAUGACCGUUUGACUGUCCUGCCUGGCAACAAACAACACUUACAUUCUAUCUCCAUUCUUCCAAUUUCCGAUGCCAAAUCUAAUAUAUAAUUCAUGGACGAAGAAAAAAUAUCUACUUAUAUCAAGAAUAAAAAUAUAUUUUCUUAUUAAUAAAAAUAUAUACGUAUAUUAUAUAUAGUACUUUAUUUGAUUAAAUAAUUGUUUGUUUGUUUAUUUAUCUUCAAUUCUUUAAUUUUUGUAUAAAAAUUAUAUAAAUAUUUAAUAAGAAUUUAACAUCUAUAGCCAUCAAAAUUUAACUUAUGUAGUUUCUUUUACAAUUUAUAAUUUAAUAUUUGUUUGUAAAUUAAUUUUAUAUUAAAUAACGUAAACAAUUACAUAUACUAUACUUAUUCUUUAUAUCUGACCAUUUUUCUGAAAACACACAUUAAAAUUACUAUACAUAAUAUUUGAUCGGGAAAAAAUCAUAAGAUAUACUAUAUAUUUUGUUUAAUAUAAUAAUGGGUAGAUUUACAGGUACUUUAGAAAACAUGGAGGAUUAUUAUUAUUUUAUAAUAAAAUCAUAUAUAUAUUUUUUAAAAAUUUAUAUCUAAAUUUAUUUAAUAAUAUUGUAUAGAUUAUGUCUGAAUAAUUUAUACUUAAAUUUAUAUAAAAAUAAAAGUAUUUUUUAAUUAAUUGAUCUUUUUAUAUUUAUAUCUUAAAUUUUAAAGUACAGAGAAAAAAAAAAGCUUGAGACAUGUCGGAGAAAUGUCUUUGAACUAGUAUUUUAUUUAACUAAAAAUUUCAAAUCUCUCGGCCGUAUCAUCAGUGCCUUUGUUAAGUAUGUUUUAAUCUGUUUAUAUGUUUUAAUCUGUUUUUAUGUUUUAACUGAGUUGGACUCCACGUAGAUACCACCUUUUUAGAUUAGAAACAGACGUUAGUUUUAAGAUGAUUUCCGUCAGGUCAACGGUCAAACUAACGUUUCUGUAAUAAUUCAUUACUAUAGUGAUGCAUCUGAGUCCCCGAUAAAUCGAGUCAUCAAAGUGAGAUAGAGACUUCACUUUUGUGACCAAUUUGAGAUUUAACCCGUUCUUUAAAUUAGUCGACUUUUCUGAAAAACUCUGUAACUAGUAUGGAGACCCGAAUGUGUAAGCUCUAACGGUAUGGAUUUGCUUGAUCUCUUCGUGGUGAUUCCAUAUCAGAUAUGUCAGUUUUGCAAGAAAUUUAAUAGUCCGGUGCCGAAAAUACCAACAAAUAUCAUUUCACCCCACAAAAUCACAAAAUCUGGACUUGUUACUCAUCAUCAUCCAAAGCAAGCCCGGUCCAAUAAUAUAGUUCUGGCAACUCCAUUGUUGAACACUUUUGAUUAAGUUGGCAACAAGAGGCCCUGUUUUAGAGGUGAUAAUAUACUUUAGAGAGAAGACUUUUAGCAGUGACCCAUUGCAUGAAUAAUUGAAGAAAGAAACUUCAGCAUAUUUGCCUAUCUUAAUCUAUCUGUUUUUCUAGUCAUCAACAGACUCACUCAACAUAUGUAUCAGGCACAAGCUGUUGAAUUUUAUCUGUUCUUAAUUGGUAUAACCACAACUAACUGAGCAAAAUAUUUACAUAAGUUAGUUGAAACCACUGGGGUGUAAGCAGCCAAGUUAAUAAACCAGCAGUUUCUGCAGCUUUCACAACGUUGCUUCAUAUUAUUUUCCCCCUUAUUAGAUGAGCAAUAUAUUUGUGGAAUGGAUGUACCUGAAUUUGGUAUCCGAAGCUUAGUUAUAGAAAUUGUCGAUCAGCUAGUUUGCAACUUACUGAGAAUGCUUUCCAUUGGACUUGAUUUACUCGUAGAGAAGCAGCACGCAAUGUUAAGGAAGGCCUGAUACAUAAUGUAUUUAAGAUAAUGUUUUGCAUCAAUUAUUACAAAAAGCUACUACUUUAAAUUGAUGAACAUUUACUAUAGCAGUACUGUGGUAUUAAAGUGAGUACUAAUAUUAGAUGUUAGUCGAGUUCGAGGAAGUUUUGGAAUUCUUUUUAUUGAGAGUUUUUGCAAAACGUGGUUAAGAAAUUGAGAAAUUUGAGUUUUAAAAUUAGCUGUAAAAAAUAUCGGUCAAUUGUAUUAGAUAUUACAUGCAUUUGAGUUUUAAAAUUAGCUGUAAAACACUUAUAAUUUAUGUCCAAUUUGAGUAAUAAAUCUCUUAUUAGUAAUAAAUCUCUUAUUAGUACUUUCAACUAAAUAUUUCUCCUAAACACUUAUAAUUUAUGUCCAAUUUUCAUAUUAUUUCUUUUAGAAAGACUAUUGUAUUAUUUUGAAUUUUAGUAAUUAGAUUAUUUUUAUUUUUUAUGAAUUUCAAAUUUAAAAAACUUAAUAUUUUUGUCACGCUACUUCUUAUUUGUAAUACAAAUUAUUUCUAGAUAAAAUUAAUAUAUUAAUAAAUAUAGUGUAAACUACAUAUAAUACAAAAAACUUUUUUUGUAUUAUAAUAAAUAUAGUGUACUACAUAUAGUGUAGUACACUUUUUUCACAUGCAAAAAACUGCACUGUUUCGGUUUAAGCAAAGCUUGACAAUCAGGACUCCUGGCUGGAAUUGCGAGUAUUAUUCCUACGAAGAAGAUGAUGUUCAUGAUAUCCCUUCACCCCCAAAGACAAUGAAUUGGAGCAUGAAUUCUGAUUACUGCAUGUGGGAUGGAGUUAGCUGCGACGAGGAUACAGGGCACCUAACCGGAUUCAAGCUGCAGUCAUCUGGUGCAUUGGAAUGAAAUUAUAGAACUUCUUCAGAGCCUGAUGCUCUCGAGGAUGCACUAAUGAACAAGCCUAAUGAUGAUCAUGAGUCAUAACUCCGUCCUUGAAUAAAGUAUCAUGAAACAUAUUUUGUAUUACAUUUUGUAUUAUUGGAAACUUGAUUUGAAACCAAAAUAGUUUGGUGGAAUCAUUGCCAGGGAAUUGGGUCUGAAGAUAGAGGAUGGAGAUUAAAUUCCGAUAGAUAAAGAUUUGUGGUAACGUUUUAUGUCAUGUUAACUGUCACCCAUGUAGUGAAAAUAACUUGAAAUGAUGAAAUUUAUAUUAGGAAGGGACCAGAUUAGCUGCACAAUGCAUUCAGUUCGCAGCAAAGAAGAUUUUGUUGAGAGGGUUUGAAGGAAAGGACAUGAUUCACAACAUAGACUUAUAAUUCAAUAACAGAGUAAUUCUUCAGAGCCAGAGUCUCUUCCAGACGCUCUCUUCUAAUAAAUAUCCGGUGAAGUAAAAGCAUUAGUCAUCACUCUGCACUUGCUCUAAGUUUUGAUACAAACAUCUUUUUGUGAUGUUAACACUCUCGUAUCAGUUAUUGUACUCAUAGUUAUCUGGUAUGGGCGAAAAAUAUGUGCGUCGGCCAUGAAGAGUCAUGAUUUAUUGAUUCUUUUGUUAAAUGUUUAUUACUAAAUAACAACAUACUCAGACACACAUAUAUACAUGCAUUCACAAAAUUUGAACUCUCAGACUUUUUUUUUAUCGAGUAGCUGGGGAUAUCUGAUUCUUGCUUAUUUUUCAGACUUGAUGGUUUACAAAGGAUUUACAAAUUGAUUUUGUUCAAAUAUUUAACACAAGCCCAUCAUCAUUAUCCAACACAAGCCCGGUCCAGUAUAUAGUUCUGGCAACUCCAUUGUUGAACACUUUUGUUGAAGUUGGCACAGGUCAAAAAUGUAUAUUUCUUCCAAGAGAUUACAUCUCUUUUCUUCAAAAUUUAUUGUAGUUUCAAAAUGUUUCAAAAUUCAUUAUUUUUCCACUCCUUUGAAUGCCAUUCUACAAUCCACAUAUCAGUACUCAGACUUUCACCAGUGAACCAUUGCAUAGAUAAUUGAAGAAAGAAACUUCAACAUAUUUGCAUAUCUUUAUCUAUCUUUUUUUCUAGUCAUCAACAGGCACAAGCUGUUGAUUUUUAUAUGUUCUUAAUUGGUAUAAGCAUUUAAGGUGAGUGUUGAUAUUUCUCACUAAUCUUCUUCUGCUCUAAGUGACAUAUUAUUACAAUCCACAAAUUAGUAGACAGACUAAUAUGGUUAGUUGAGACCAUCAAUCUGGAGAACAGACUAAUACAUGUGUAGUAAUCUGAUCAUCAUUUAUUUGAUUACAAUAGAAAUUCGGCUUUGUUUAGUUCCAUCCUCGGGCUCUUCAUUUCUAGAACAUAUUUGCUGAUACUUUUUAUUGUACAAUUUAGAAUAUUCCAUAAAAAUUUAAAUUCGGUGCUAGAUGAUUUUAUGUCCGGCCUGUUUUCAUUCCAUUCAUGAACUAAUGGAAAUUUUGAAAUUGGGUCAUAUUAGGCAGUGAUGCCACCUUUCUGGACCUGCAUUUCAUGACCACAAACUCCUAUUGUGCCAAAAAAUUCCAGCUGUUUCGUGAGAUUUUUCUACGUGCUCUUUUGUUCGGACUUGUUUGCUGAAUCCCACAAUAGACAAUAUUGAUGUUAACAACUCUUGCGUCAGUUACUAGACUCGUUGUUAGUAGCCCAUUCUUUACGGCAGACGUGGAAUUUACUUGAAGAAAUGAAGGUGUAAGAAAGUUGAGAACAUUUUGUUGAUUAUUCCCUUCCCUAGAAACUGCACUCCGCCAUCAAAGUAUCUUUCAAAGACUCCAGCAUCAUUUCUUGAUUAUCAAAGUCUUCGUCUUUGCCAUCUCCUGCUCUGAAAGUGCUUCUAUUGCAGACCACAUAUUAGUAGACAGACUACUAAAAUUCAUCUAAAAUGACCUCUCUGCGUGGGCUCUUUUGAACAAUCAGGGUUGGACAUGAUUCUACACGCAUCAGAGAAAAACUAUCAGCUCGCUAAAAACCUCUCUGCAUCAACUCUAUUGAAAAAAGAAACUAUGGCUCAUACAGUUUAAGUUGAUAUCAAAUAGUAAAUGAGAAUACUUGCAGUUUUAAAUUACUGCACACUAUUUUUUUAACGAAAAUAUGUGCAGUUUUAACAUAGUCUAAUUAUUUUCUUGAUGACGGCUAUGCAAAUUGUGAUAGUUGAAAAUCUUUUUAUGGUCUUUGACAAGCAUCAAGGAAAUGCAGGAAGGUUAUUUAUCGGCUGAUUAAUCUCUUUCUUUGUUUCUGAAAUUCCUUACAUUAGAUCUGUUGAGAGUCUUUACUGGGGAUAAUCUUCUGUCACUGGAUCUGUUGAGGUAACUUUGGGAUAAAGUACUGUCUCUAUUACAUGGAAGUUUGAACUGUUUCAUAUUUUUUAGACAACUAAAUGCACUUACAAACUCGACUUGUGUUUGAAAAGGUUCAAACACUCGAACCUUGAAAAGAACGAGAGAGAUAUUAUUGGAUCCAGAGGUCUUUAGUCAGGUCUAGUGCUUUCUUAAAUUAAUUUCCUAAAGUUUCAGUUAAGAUGUGAACCAAAGCUCUUGGAGGUGGUUCUCAUUGCUCUCUUUGUUCCAAAUUGGACUUAAAAAUUGUUGUGUGAUCCCAAGUUGCGGGUUUACUGAUGAGAACAAUAAAUAUUCAACUGAUGAUACCGAAGCGGCAGCAAUACUGCAAUUUCUUGUAAUAAUCAGAAGUACGAGUACAGAGCAAUGUCAAUAUGCUGGAAACUAUUCAGGGAGCCAUCACAGCUUAAUACGCCAAAAUACAAGACAAUGCAUAUGAACAUGGAACACUUGUUUUCUUUAUCUAAAAUUUUCUUUUGUAAAACAAAGCACCUUAUGUUGAUUAAUCAAUGAUAGAAAGUGAUAUUGCCGUAAACAGGUCAAGAAUUCAUUUUGUAGCUGUCUUCUUGCUCUUUUUAUUUUUCUUGCAUAUACUGAUAUACACUGAAUAUAGGUUUCUUUCAUUUCCUUGAAAUUGCAUUUUUGGAAGUAGCUCUCCAGACUCAUUCCCGUCACUUCUCAAAGUCUUAUUCCUCGUCAAUACUACAUACACAUAAUAUCACACAUAUUUGCUCAUGCUCAGAUGGGUUUUUCUUACAAACCACACAUGUUCACUUCUCAGAGUCUUAGUCCUCGUCAAUGUAUCUAUGUAUCUAUGUAUAUAUUAUAAAUCCUGAAUAGUGCCACGUCAUCAAUGCCACAUAUUUCAAAAAAAAGUCCACAUUGAUCCCACAGAUUUUAGAUUUUGCCAUGUCAUUAUAAUUUCCCUUAUUGAUUUAAGCGUAUCAGAAUAAUCAAUCACAUAUCUUUGAAUUCCUAAAAUUGAGUGUAAUCAAUGACCGACAAUUAUAUUAAAUUUUGCAUGGUAAUGCAAUAACUACAUUCCAUAAUCAUAGCAUUUUUUGAAUGUUAAAUUUGUACGGAACUAAUUAAAAUUGAAAAAGAUAAUUAUAUUGAAUAUACUGCCACAAUUGUUAAGCUUAUCAUGUAUCAUAUAACUACGCUUUAAUUAUAUUAACUUAUAUAUAAAUAAAUGAAGUGCUUAAAAAUUAAAAUUGAAAUUUAUAAUUAUAUUUUUAUUUAAUAUUUAAUAUCCGAAAUUCGUCUAAAAUUUAGCUAUGUUACAAAUAUGUUGCUUUUUAAUUUUCGGAAUGAUAUAUAUUACAUUUUCUAACAUAGUGAAAUAAGUAUUAUAAAAAGUAUUUUUAUAAAAAUAUUACGUCAUUAAUUAGUAUGUAUUAAGCAUUUUAUGUAGGUCAACUUAAUCAUAGUAGAUAUGUACUAUUACUUAGAGACAGCAAUCGGGUCGAUCGAAACGGGUUUCGCAAAUUCCAAAAUUGAAUCCAAACUAUAUUAUAAAUCCUGAACAAUGCCAAAUCAUCAAUGUCACAUAUUUCAAAAAAAAACCAAGUCAAUGGCAUCUAUUUUAAAUUUUGUCAUGUAUUAAUAGUACGUAUUAAACAUUUUAUGUAGGUCACCUUGAUCAUAACCAAUCAGAUGUCCUAAGAUUCCUAAAAUUGUGCGUAAUCAAUGGGUCGGUCGAAACGGGUUUCACAAAUACCAAAAUCGAACCCAAAUUAUAUUAUAAAUCCUGAACAGUGUCAAAUCAUCAAUGCCACAUAUUUCAAAAAAAAAGUCCACAACAAAAACGCCUAUUUUAAAUUUUGACGUGUCAUAUCAUAUUCCAUAUUUAUUUUAGACCAAUCACAUGUCCUAAAAAUCCUAAAAUUGGGCGUAAACAAUGACUGACAAUUAUAUUAAAUUUUGAAUGGUAAUGCAAUAACUACAUUCCAUGUAUCAUAGCAUUUUUUGAAUUUUGAAUUUGUACACAACUAAUGAAAAUUGAAGAAGAUAAUUAUAUUGAAUAUACUGUCACAAUUUUUAAGCUUAUCAUGUAUCAUAUAACUAAGCGUUAAUUAUAUUAAUUUAUAUAUAAAUAAAGUGUUUAAAAAUUAAAAUUGAAAUUUAUAAUUAUAUUUUUAUUUAAUAUUUAAUAUCCGGGAGUCGUCUAAUAUUUAGCUAUGUCACAAAUAUAUCAAUUUUUAAUUUUGGGAAUAAUACAUAUUAAAGUUUCUAACAUAGUGAUAUAGAUAUUAUAAAAAGUAUUUUUAUAAAUUUUAAUAUUACGUCAUUAAUAGUACGUAUUAAACAUUUUAUGUAGGUCACCUUGAUCAUAGUAGAUAUGUAUCACUGUUACAGAUAGCAAUCGGGUCGGUCGAAAUUGGUUUCGCAAAUACCAAAAUUGAACCCAAACUUGAAAAUUUUAGGAAUCUUAAACCUGAACUUGAAGGAUAUUACACGAGUAAUUAUUAUUUAUUCAACAAAUAAUAUUAAAUAUAUAUAAAAUAUUAAAUAUAAAUAUCUUAAUUUUGUUUUAAUUUUAUUAUAUAUUAAAUAAUAAAUAUAUUAUAAAAGAUAUUAUGUAUGUAUGUAUGUAUGUAUGUAUGUAUGUAUGUAUGUAUGUAUAUUUGUAUAUUCGGGUUCGGGUUCGAAAUGAGUUCCGGAUUUUCAGGUCGGGUUCGAAUCAAACCUGAUUCUGCCUGGUCCGAAAAUUAUUCGGGUUUAAAAACAAAUUUUUAUCCGAAACCCUAUAAUUUGGGUUUGGUAAAACACAAUCCGCUCGGUACGAGUUAGACUCGGGUUGGGUAGAAUUGUGACUGCCCAAUACCUCAUGAAACAAGAAUGUAGUAUAACUAACUAUCAUUAUAGUGGAUGGUCAUUCAAAUCUAUUUAUUCGAUUUGACGUAUAAUUUUGAUGUUCGUAUUAACAUAAUGUUUUGUUUGAUAUAUAAUUUUAGUUUAAUAUUGUUUGACAUAUAAUUUCACUUGAAUUUUCUUGAUAUAUAAUAAACUUAAGUAUAAGAGAGUUAUGUCUAAUAUAAUUUUUUUCUUCCUACUUUAUACUUUAUUUGAAAAUUCAAAUAUAAUUAUUUAUUAAAUGUAUUUGUGAAAUAAUAACAACAAGAUUCAAUAAAAAUUUGAAGCCCGUGCGCGGAGCGCGGGCAAAAACACUAGUAGAGAUAAUAUCUCACCAAUUUGCUUACAAACCACACAUGUUUUAGUUAUAUUUUUUGGUUUGGUACUCUCUUUUGGUACUACAAGUCUACAAAUGUGGAGUUUAUUAGUAUUAUAUUGUUAAAUAGUUUCAAAUACUAAAAACACUUAUAACAAUCCAUUAUCAUAUAAUAUUUCAUUAAAAAAUUAUAAUGAUAUUAUAAAUAAGAUUAUAAAUAUACAAUUUUGAAUAUCUUCUUUUAAUAAGAAUCUUCAUAUAACUUUUUUUACUUUAACGUGUUCUAUUUCAAUAUAAACACGAACCAUUACAUAACUCUUUUUAACUCUAAUCUUAAAUAUUAUUGUUGUCAAAAAAAUCAAGAUUACAAAAUUACGUUGAAAUUCGAUUGAUUAGAUUACUGAAUUUUUCAAAGGUAAUACUCGAUCAACUAUGUUUGGAAAAGAUUUAAAUUUUCUGAUUUUUUUUAUUUUUAAAUCUACGUGUACUAAAUUCGGAUUAAAUGUACUAAAAUCAUGAGGGGUUAUCCAUUUUCGAGUAAUCUGGAGAAAAUAUAUUCAGUUGAAUAAUAUAAUUUAAUUAAAAUUCAAUCCAUUGUUACUAAAAUAUUAAUAAAAUGAUGUUAAAAUUUAAAUUAUAAAUAAUAAAUUAUGAACUAUAUAUCCGCCCGUACUUCACACGGGUUAAAAGGCUAGUAUCAUAUUAUUUUCUAAAGAUUUGGUGCAGCCCUGAUAUUUCGCAACACGGAACCCUGAUAAUUGAUAUGCAGUGUUCCAACGUUCUUGCGGACCAUGUGUAAGUAGAAAAAUUAUCUAAAAUGACCUCUAUCCAAUGUGCGUGCAUGGACCGAACUCCGAAGUAUCUCAUACUUCAUGCAUGUACGGUGACAAACCUGACUCGCGUACAUCAUAUAAAAAAUUUCCAUGUAGUUAAAUUGACCUAUCUAUAUCACGGUGUGUCGGAUAAGCAUAUGAAAGUUGAAGAAACAAAGCUUUAAUAAAGUUGAGAAGAUUUCAAUACUAAUUAUUUCCCAAAUCUCCAUCUCCAACUUUAAACUCCUUUUGAAGAUAUUCAGUUGAAGAAAAAACUCGCAAAUUGUUUUAUUUUAAAAAAGUACAAAAAAUUGACAUCCUCUUCCAUUUCUUAAAACUUCCAUUUCUUAAAACACUGAUCAAAUCGUAUCAUAUUAAGUUUUAAUUCUGAUAAAAACUUAUUAUAACAUGAUUGAUUAAUUUAAAAAAUCUUCAUUUAUCGUGUACUAAAUAUUUUAAUUCUCUAAAAAAUGUUUAUAUAAUCGGAGAAUAUUUUUAAUCAAAUUACUAAAAAGAAUUUAAUAUUUAUGACCAAAAAAAUUAUUAUUUCUUCAAGUUACUUCUUAUUUGUAGUAUAAAUUAUUUACAGAUAAAAUUAAUAAACGAAUAAAAAAUAAUAUAUUUUAAUUAAAUAUAAACUCUCCACAUUUUGUGCUAUAUAUAUGCUAGAGAUGUUAAAUAGAUCUAAUCCCAAACAAAAUUUUUGAAGGAAAAAUGAAAAUGCAAAAUUUCAUCCUCUGUUUUUUCACGAUCAUUGUGAUGCUCGUCUUCUUGCAGCACAACCUAGUGGCUUGUUCAUUAAGCCCCCACUUGCAGAAACUUGCCUUGUUCCACUUUAACCAAACCUUAACAAUCAGUACUAGUAGCUACCUAGUGGAUUGCGAGUACCAUUCCUACGAAGAGAAUGCGCUUUAUUAUAUUCCUUCACGGGCAAAGACAAAGAAUUGGAGCAUGAGUUCUGAUCACUGCACAUGGGAUGGAGUUAGCUGCGACCACAAGACAGGGGACGUUAUCGGACUCGAUUUAAGCUGCAGUCAGCUGGAAGGAGCCAUUCUUCCUAACAGCACUCUCUUCCAGCUCUCUCAUCUCCGCUUCCUCAACCUUUCUGGGAACGACUUUUACGAUCAGUUCCCUCAGGAAUUUGGUUUCUUUGCAAAAGGUUUGACGCAUCUCAACCUCUCUAAUACUUAUUUAUCAGGGAGAGUUCCCUCGGGAAUCUCUUAUUUGCAUAAACUGGUCUCACUUGAUCUCAGUCGCAACCAUGAGGCUAAACUUGAAGAAGAAGUGUUUAAAUCAGUGUUGCAGAAUUUAACUCAUAUCAGAGUGCUUAAUCUUAAUAGAGUUAACAUCUCCUCUGUUUUGCCCGUGAAUAUCUCUACUUCUUUAAGAGUUCUUCAAUUGAGGUAUACUGAUAUACACGGAGUACUACCCCAAGAGGUUUUCCACCUUCCCAACUUGGAAUUUCUUGAUUUAUCAUUUAAUCCUGCCCUGAGAGCAACAUUACCCAAAGUUAAGUGGGGAAGUAAAGCUACUCUCCGACACCUUCUUCUUACAUACAUCAACAUAGAUGGAGGUAUACCUGACUCUAUAGGCUUUUUGGAGUCAUUAGUCACUUUAGAUCUGAUCGCCUGUAAUUUGUCUGGGCCGAUACCAAGAUCCAUUGGGCAACUCGUUCAACUUACUCUCUUGGACCUGUCUGAUAAUAAUCUCAGUGGCCCAAUUCUAUCUUUUUUAACACGCCUUGCAGACUUAAGAUAUAUCUCCCUUGACCGUAACAAUUUUACUGGUCCGUUUCCCUCUUUUCUUGCCCACUCCAGUAAACUAGUUGAGUUGUAUCUUGAUAGUAAUAGCUUUACUGGAUCCAUACCUCGUUCGUUGUUUCACCAUCCAUCCUUAGAGUACUUGUUUCUGGAUAGUAAUGCAUUCACGGGUCCACUACAUGAAUUUGAUUCUUCUUUCUCACGAUUGCGAUCUUUUUCUUGUUCCCACAAUUCACUCUAUGGAUCCCUUCCACAUUCAUUUUCUCAACUUGUCAAUCUCACUAGCCUAGAUUUAUCAUCAAACAAUUUCAGCGGGGUUUUGGAUUUGGAAAUGUUUUCAGGCCUCGAAUCUCUACAAUAUCUUGGACUUUCUCAUAACAGUCUUUCAGUGACAAGUACAAUCAGGGGCACUCUCCCUCCUACGCUUAACUACUUGGGCUUGUCAUCUUGCAACAUGAAAGAGUUUCCUCACUUUUCAAGAGAUGCAAACAUCUCCCUGGAGUUUGUAGACCUAUCAAACAAUAACAUUGAAGGGGAAAUUCCACACUGGAUUGGGUCAGUGUGGUACUCUGAGUAUUAUAACUUGCCCUAUCUGAAUCUUUCUCACAACAAACUAAUAGGCGGUCUUGAGCAACUGCCUUGGGGUUAUCUUACUUAUCUUGAUCUCCAAGACAAUAAGCUGAAUGGAUCGUUGCCCACCUUGAUGUGUAAUUCCAGCUCUCUUGAGAUUCUAAAUCUCUCUCACAACAAGUUGAGUGGUGUACUACCCAUUUGUCAUACAAAUUUGACUCCGCUUUCGGUUUUGGAUCUGCGGAGGAAUAACAUUCAAGGAAACAUUCCAGCAACCUUGUCAAAUUUCUGUAAUCUGGAAACUAUUAAUUUGAAUGGAAACCAAUUAGAAGGAAGCAUUCCUUCUUCUUUUGCUCAAUUUGAUUCUUUAGCCGUUCUUGAUCUUGGAAAUAAUCAGAU